GAAUUUCCUGACAUAAUUUGAAAAUGCAAAAUUUAAUUAGCAGGGCCCAUUCAUUCAAAAUUCCCCAAUCAAUCAAGAAACUGGUGUAGUGAAGAUGUGGAGGCUUUGUGGCAGUUGAACUAAAAUUUCCAACACAAACUAUCCAACCAAUUAUUCUACCUUCCAUGCCAACAAGCAACCAUCCCACCAUUUUUUCCCACCUCUUAUUUACAUACCAUCAAAUUGGCUAAGCCAUGGCUACAGAAGAGGACUUCAGCUUUCCCACCACCACCGAUACACCGCCACGAUUCAUUGAAUCGCCACGCUUAUGGCGGACAACUUCUCUAGUCUCACCCUCUCAUGAGACCCCAAAGGGAGAAGACGAUGCAGAAGGCUUCAAAUUCUUGUGUUAUUGUACAUCAAAUGACAAGAAGUCCAAAUCUGCUUUCCAAAGGAAGAGCUUCUCACACAUAGAAUGUGGGAUGAAGACUAGAAGGCAUGAAGAUGGUAAUUUUGGCAGUGAUCACGAAGAUGAGGAUGAUCAAAAAGAAAAAAUGGACAUGUUAUGGGAGGAUUUCAAUGAAGAAUUUUCAAGGAAUUCUAAGUCGUCACCAUCAUCAAUGGCCGAUUCUGAUCAUCAGCAUAUGUCUAUGAUGAAGAUGUUAAAUUUUGGGUGCGUACAACCCCGUUAAAGUUGUCUAGACCAAAUAAAAAGCCAAGUAUACUGGAGUUCAUGAAGGUCUUGAAGAAGAGGUUCCUACUCCAAAAUUCUCACCGUUCCACCAAGAAAACUCAACGGUGAAACUAAUUCUUUUCUUUUUUUUUUCCCCUUCUCUAAACUAAAUUUAUUAUUAUUUCUUUGGUUUGUUCUUUCUGUUGUACAAAUCAAUAUACAGAAAUUUAAUGGCAAAGUCAAUGAUAUCCCCUUUCUAAUUUGAUUUCAUCUUCUUUAACUAAAAUUAAGUUCAUCCAAGUUCAGCUAUAUAUUAAUUUGGGGAAUUCUCAAUGGCUAGGAUGAACACAUAUUUAAGUUCUAAGUUUAUGGAUAUAUACUAUUCAAAAUCCAAAAAAAAAAAGAAUUUGCUAUUAAAUAUUGUUUACUUCGUAGAAAUAAAAAAAAUAAUUACUUGUAAAAAUGACAGCUAACCUCUAUGUGUUUCAUAAAUGAUACAAUAUAUACGUUAACAUGACGUACGUGAGGGGAAAAAUUUUUAUUAUUAAAAAAAGCACAUUGUUAUAACUUUUACGGAUAGUUUCAGAAACCUCCCUUAAGUUUUCUUAUAAUUUCAGUUAGUCCCCCUCAAAUUUAUUUAAUUACAUUGACCUUCCUUGGUGCUGUAAAAUUACUACAAUAUCCUUUACUUAUUAGUCAUAAUUUAUUUUUUUUUUUUUAAAAAAACUCUACCACCACAUCUUGUAGUCUUCCUCAAUCAACCAACGGCUUGACCAUAGACGGCCCCCUUCCAUCUCUCUUUCACCCUCCUCUUAUUCUUCUUCCCAUAAUACCGAAUGCCAACAACAAAAGCAUCAUGUUUGCACACACCAAUUCCCUAUUCCGGUGUUUGUUCCCAAUCCUCAACUCUUUUUCCUCGUCGUUAUACAUCAGGCCAUAUUCUUUAUUCGUCUAUUUUCCUUAAAUCUUCACAGAUUUAAUUGCAACUUGUGAGUUGAUUUUAUUGUCAAGCUAGAUGGAAAGGCAGACAAUGGUAGUGAUAAAUAAAAAAUCAUAAUGAUGGCUCGAAGAUAAAGAGCUGCUAAAUGUGGGUACGCUCAUGUACAUUAAUUUCUAGGAUAUUAGUAGUGUUUUUUAAGUUUUUGUGUUUAGUUUGCAAUUUCUAGUGGUCAUUUUCUUCAGAAAUGGAAUUUGAUCCCUACACUAGGCAUCGAUGGAUAUUGUUGGUCUUUAUUUUCAAGACAUGGAAGCGUUGCUCUUAAUCUCUGUAUUAGUGGUAGUGGGUUGGAUUAUUCUGUGAAAGAAAGUGCAGCACUGGGAUUCGCCUUUGAGGUGUGAGAUUGCUCAAUAUAACAUUGAUUUUAGGCAAGAAUUGAGGUUGUAUGCAAGCUUUUGUGUUUUGGUAAUUUCAGGCAGUAGAGUCAAUUGCAAUUGCUUGGGUUCAGGGAUUUAGUUGUAGUAUUUGCUCUACUGGUUUGUAAGACGGUGAUUUUGCGGUGGCUAUGUAUGGUAAGUAUUAUUUAAGGUGAUGAUGACUUAGAGGUAGACCAUUUGUUUCAUCCUUGCCACUGUAGCCAAAAGGGUAUUUCAGGAAAUUGAAAAAGUAUCCAGAUAGUUGGGUCUAUAUUGUUAUCGAUCUAAACAGUGAAAUAGGGGAUUUAAGUGUAAUUUCAAAAAUUUGAGGGGACUGCCGGCAAUUGUCCCUUAGGGGCGGUUUGUGAAAUUAUCCCCAACUUUUAUAUUGUCUAGUUUCUUUGCGUCCUCAGUGGGUGGAUUGUCCAAUAUUAUACGGCAACUAAGACCAAUCUCAGCCCAGAAGGAUAUGGAAAAAUGAGUUUAUGUGAUUCGGAACUCGGACGCAUACAAUUGAAACCAAGAGAGAGCUGGCAUGGAGGAAUCUGAAUGCUUCCAGAUAUUAAAAAGGAGACAAGAAAUAAUACACAAAUUAAUUCACUACGUCAAUGUCAUGCAAUUGGAAUUUUUCAUUUUUUUUUCCCAUAAGGCAUUGAAAAGCAUGUUUCAACUUCCAUCCACCCAUGGUUCCACUCAUUUCCGUGUCAUUAGCUGUGUAUGGAAGUCAGUGUUGCAAUCAUUGAAAUAAUGCAUUUGAAAGCCGAUAGGAAGGCCUUAGAGAGGUCUAUAAAUUUCAGCGGUGUCUUCGAUCAUGUGUCAACGCACACAGAACAGAAGGUAGGCCAAUUGUCAUUGUCUGCCGGGGAAUAUCAGAAACCUUGCUACUGAAAAAACAGCCCCCUUAUGGUAAAAGCUUGGUAUUAUCCAAGUAGGUGUGGCUGUACCAGUUGUGUUCUGUCAUGUUGUUAUCAUGUUCACAUUUAAAAAAAAAAUGCUCAAUCUGCAUGUCAUAAUCUUCUUAUUAACGGAUCAAUUCAACCUACUCAAUUAAAUCCAUUAAAUAUUUUACACAUAAGAACCGCUGGAACAUGAACCCGUUACACACUUUAGUGCAUGUAUCCAUGGAAGUCAUAUAUUAUUGCUGUUGUAUAGUUUUCAAUCACAAAAUGCACAAUAAAGUCUUCAAAUUUUAAACCAUAAAAUAAUGUCUAAAACUUGAAUAUUGGCUUUCAACAAAUACAAAUUCAAUAUUGAAAUAACGAUACAACAUAAAACAUGGAACUUAAGAGUAUUCAUAGUUUUUAAAGACAUAAUAUGCAAUAAAGUCUUCUAAGUGUAGCACAAGCUUCAAGGUUUAGAGUUUUCAAUAAAAACAAAGUCAAAUACUUCCAUACAAAAUAAGACAUAAAACUUAUUAUUUCCAAAACUUCUAAAUAAAAUCUUCACCCAAGCCUGUGCAACCAUUCACUUUACAAGUCUUCAUUCUUUCUCUUUCAAUUUGAUAAAAAAAAGAGAGAGAGAGAGAACUUACUACCAAAAUAAAGAUGAAAAACAAACAAAAAUCAUGAUCGUUUAGUAAUUAAAUAUACGGGUUGGCUUGUCAACCUCCAGGUUGAUCCAAUCUUAUCAACUUAUAUUUGUGUUGUUAAAAGGUUGACCCAAUGGCGACCUCUUAUAUUUGGGUCUUGUUAAACAUAUUAAUUGUAAGGAAUCAUACGAGUAUGAAUAAUAGGCAAUUUAAGUUUUUGGUUUCUUAACAGCUCGUACUUUGAUUAAUUCUAUAUAAGGAAGAAUUAGCUUAGGAAAUUUACUUCCAUGACUAUAGUAAAUCUCCUUGAACGCUAAUCCAAGAAUGUGUGUGAAGUCCUAGGAAUCUACCUUAAGUUGUCCAAACGUUUAGCCUCUAUUGGUGAUCCACACAAAAUCUUUAGCUAGAAUCCUUUUAGGUGGAAAUUGUUUAAAUUAGAAAAGUACUAUCUACUAUCAAGGCCUAAGCACUCAACUUGUUCUUGAAGAAGAUGAAGAAACACUUAGGGUUUAUUAACCCUAAAAUCGGCCAAAGGUGAAGUGAGAGAAUUCGUUGAUUUCUUUCAGGAACCAACCACUUUUCCUUAGUAUUUCUCUCAUCAGAUUUUCACAAAAUUUUACACAACUUGAUUUCUGUUCAUCGGUCUUGUUAGCUUGAUCCAUGAGAGUAUUUUUAGACAAAUAGGUUAUUUGAAUACUUGUGGAAACGAGAAGCUAGUUUCCAUUUGGUUUCAACUUAUCUUUAUUCUAAUACAACUCAUAUAUUUGGAAGACUUAAAUUCAUUUACACCAUAAGUCCCUCAAAUUUAAUUUAUCUUACAAAUUAAACUAUGAGUUAUAAAAACUUAUCGUUCAAAUCCUCAUUUGAAUUUCUUUUAAUCUGGCUAAAGAAAUUAUUAAUACGUGUAACCUAUUAAGUUCUCAUACACGUUGCCAAUAAGUAUAAGUAAUAAUUCUAAAUAACUAAAAACAAGAGAAGUUAAGCACAUAACAUCGAUAAGCUUAAUCUUAUAGUUCAAGAUUGGUAUCUAGCAAUGCAUUAUAACUAUCCAAGUAAUGGUAAUAGUCAAGUAGAUGACUUCACCCAUUUUGUGAACAUUUCUUGUGUAAUUAAUAUCCUUUUACCAUACUUAUCUCAUAUUAGUCUUGUGACGCCCCCACUUCUCCCUAAGGCGAACCAAAGGGUAUCCGCGGGACGGCUGCCCAACUCUCGUCAGGACUCACUAUAAUCCACAAAUUCAAAAGUUCGGAAUACUUCAAAUAACUUCAAUACAUAAGUAAAGUACUCCAAAAUAUCUCACACUUACAAUUAAUCAGCUCUCAAGCUUAAUACAACCCAAAUGAAUAUUUACUACAGCCAUAUGCUGUAAUACAACUUUAAAUUUUCAAAAGAAAGCUAUCUAGUACUAUUCACGAGCACUCUUGGUUUCGAACCCUGUUAAAGAAAACAAAAACAUGGGAUGAGUUACACAGCCCAGUGAGGUUCCAAGACACUCUAGCAGUUUUAAUAAAUCAAGUAAUUGAGCAUACCGCAUGUAUGGUUCAGGGUUGCACGUUGACAUAUGAACAUGAGACAAUUAUCAUUCUACGAGUAAUUUGAGCAUAUCACAGGUAUAGCACAUUUGCAUGAAACGAUUAUCAUUAUGUAAAAUAAACACACAUUGAAGGAUACGGUGUUCCAUUGGAAUUAUUUCGGUCAACUGGACCUUAUAACUUCCGAUCCCCACGAUACUGUCUGGCCAUCGCCUUAUCCCUCCAGUAGUAAUACUUGAGUAUACCGAAACGGUGGUCCAGAGUUCCAACCUACCCGACCGAGUCCAGUCCUGACUCGAGUAAGUCAGUAACCAAGGGCAGGGCCCAAGUUCAGUUUAGAGCUUACAACAUGCACAAAUAAUCAAAUAACUUGGCGAACGGUAAACAUUUAUUCUUUUGGUAGGUCGAGUGAGAUAAAGUACACACUCGCCUUAAAAUGGUGGACAAUUUCAUAUGAGCAAUUACUAGCAACAAUUAACACAUAAACACGUAAGCAAUAUUUGAUAAUUUCAUGUGAACAUGUAAUUUACGGUAAUCAAGUAAUCAAGAACCAGGUAAUCAAGUAGAAAGGAAAAUGGUAAGUAAUUACGGUAAACGGUUAACGGUUGACGGUUAACGGUUAACGGUAGUAAUCACGGUUAAUUGGUAGACAUUAGUCAUUUUAAUAGGCCGCCAUUGGCCGUUCCUCACUUAUACCACUUAAGAGUUGAGGAGAUUCACUCCAACCGACUUAUGCAGCCAUAGCAUAAUUAAUCAUUUAAACACUUCACGUAAAUAUACAAUUCAAGUAUUUCAUGUCGCGUAAUUAAAGUAUAUGCACUUCAAGUAUUUCAUGUCGAGUAAUUCAAGUAGUCACGUAAACAUGCUCUUCAAGCAUUUCAUGUCAAGUAAUUCAAGUAGUCAUGUAAAUAUGCUCUUCAAGCAAUUUAUGUCGAGUAAUUCAAGUAUACCCUACUUAAAUAUGUAUGAGUGUGAAAAAUACUUAAUAUGUAGCACUUAACAUUUGACGAUCAUGGAAUAAGCAUGUCAUAGACUUAUUCAAAUUACGUACUCCUAUAUGGAACACUCACCUAGUCAAAACAAGUGAGUAAGUGCCCAAACAAAUGUUUAGGCAUCCGCUCCGAGUCCCUCUUGAAGGUCCCCUUGAGCGCCUGAGCAAAUAACCAUCAAUUAUUAUACACUAUCACUUAAAACCCCUACUUAUCAAAGAAAGUUGUACUAGUGUACAAUCUAAGGAGAAUUCAUGAAUUGAACCUUAAUUAUUUAUAAUCGAGACUCGAAAGUGGGUUUCAAAAACACAAGAGAAAUCUGAUUUUCGACUUUGAAAUCAAGUGUAAAACGGUCUAGUAAUAUCAGAGGAAAAUGGAGAGUUUGAAACCCCAAUUUCCUUUAAGUUCAGAAAUUUUAGAUUCGGCAAGCAAACUUUGAAAAAUCAGAUCUCACUCUCUAUAAGUCCAAAAUUGGAAAAAUUGGUACCGUUGGAAACUACUUCCAAAAUGCUAAAAGUUUCUAGAAGACACUUUUCCAUGAUUCCAAACAGAAGGUAUUCAAAAUUUGUCUCAAAGUUUCUGUUUUGGCUUGCGAGACAGUUUUGGGGUUGGUUUUCGGCAAAGUUUGGAAAUUCAGUAAAAUUCACACAAUGUGAACCAGUCUCUGAAAUUUCGAAUUCAAUUAGGGUCGCAAACAAAGUUUACAACAUAACAAGUAGAACAAGAAUCGGAGUUUUGAGCACCAAGAUAUAGUAGCUCAAAUUUGCUGAAAAAUCGAAACUUUUAGGCAAUUUCCAGGUUCAAAUCACAAAUUUUGGGACUUUGGUUAAGCAUUGAAAUGGACUCGGAAUGGCACCAAAUUUGGCAGUAUUACACUACCAUAUAAGGGCUAUUCCUCUGUCGAAUUUCAUGGAAAAAUACAUACGGAAAGUUGGUUAACAAAGUCACGAAAGUUUCUAAAUUUUCAAGGCAAAGCUGCCUUGUGCUACCAUUUCCCUUUUCUAAAUCAUUCGGCUAAUGAAAUAUUGUUAAACAUGGUUUAUUUGUGUAGACAAUGUCUAAGUAACAUUCAAGAUACAUUUUCUUAUGUGAUUAACACCAAGAAUUUCGAAAUAAUAAGUCCCAAGUCAAGAUUGGCCAUUCGGCUAAGAGAAAAGGAAAAGUUUUCCAGAUUCAAAGAGCAAUUUCGGGACAUCAUUUGCAUAUCAAAAUGGUCUUAGAAUAUCACUAAAUUUUGCAUAAUUAAACCUCCAUAUGAGAACUACUCCUCUAUCAAAUUUUAUUUGAAAAUUCACACGGAAAGGUAGUUAACUAAACCAUCAAAGUUCAAGAAAUUUCCCAAGGCAAAACUGUCUUCUAGAUCUUCUUUCCUUUUUAAACAUUUUGUCCAAUGCAACCAACCCAAAUCUGGUUUAUUUGUGAAACAAAGUUCAAGGAACAUCUAAUAUAAAGUUUGGUAGAUGUUGGACAUCAAAGUUUCCAAAACAACAAGUCCCAAAUCGAGCUACGCCAUUUAACUAGCCAAAAGAGGAUUUUCAAGCAAAAAUCCAGGUCUGUAAUUUGGUCAUAUCUCACUCAGUUCAACUUAGAAUUGAGCGUAGUUGAUGGCGUUGAAAACUUCAUUCAUAAGGUUACAAUUUCUCAGAAGAAAUCAUUUUUAAAAUCUGUCCACAACUAGCUCAUCUUUGAGCAUCAAGUUGCAGCUCAAGACGUGGACUCCAGUGAACCAGCGAAACAGGACAGUUAUGAUCAAAUGAGUGGUACGGUUCACUCAGGUUGUAAGAAUCGAAGACAACCUAAGAAGGAAACCGGAGGAAAAAGAGGAAGCUUGGGGUGGCAGUAACGGGCUGAGAGUGUGGAGUAGAAUCUGGUGGGCGACUGGUUGAGUAAGGAAAAGAGAAGGCCGCAGCGUUGGUGAAGGAUGCUAGUGUGAUUGUGAGAUCCGACUGGCCUGGCCUCUUCGUCAAGCUCUGCGAGAGGAGGAACCCAACUCUGCUGUUAUCGUCUUCGAUCUUCAUCGGAAAAGCACGAGUCUUGCAGCAAAUCAUCUGCUAUCGACAUUACCUUUUUCAUUUGGGUAAAAUUUCUCAUCUCUUGUGGAUGUUUAUGCCUUUUGUGCUGAAAUGUGUUUUGGUGGGCAGAGUUUCGAUCAGUCCCAAGUUGUUUGAAGCCUGAAAAUGGAUUGGUUAUAGUUUAAUGAUUUACGGUUGCUGCAUUUUUGUCCAUUGUCUUUGUUUGAAUCUUCAUGUUUGGGCGACAUUUGAUGAUAAGGGGGGGUCAGGUUUGUAUGUUUGGGGCUGAAAAGGUUUGAGUUAUGUUGAAUACUUAUUGAUAGGCCAUGUCAAAAAUGAAUUGCAGGCUGCUAAAAUCUGGAUUUUGCUUGAAUUUCUGAGUUUGCUUGCUAUUUCUAGGAUGCAUUUUUCUCUUUACUUUCACAUUUGGUUCGGUGUUGAGAUAAUGGGUAAAUAUGGAAAUGAGUUUUUCUCUAUCUUCAUGGCUGGUUUUCGCUUGUUCUUACGCAUUCCUGUCUUAGUGGUUUUGUUGGCUGAUAUGCAGUAGCUCACUUUGUCCUUUCGAUGUCGGUUUUUGGCUGUUCAUGUUAGAAGAAUCUAUAGGGUAAUCUUACUGUUUUGAAUUUGUUGUUUGGAGUGAGAAGGCAAUUUGGUAAGCUGUAAAUUUGGUAGCAAAUGGAACAUUGUGGAAGCUGAAGUUUUUUUCUGCCGUGGCAUUCAUGUUUUCCCAAAAGUGGGUGUGAUAUCUUUCUGAGUUGUUUGUUUGUUUGGAUCAUGGUAGUGGUAUAGUUAGUUGCUUAACCUGAAGUUGUGAUGUUGGGUUGGAAAAUAUCUAAUUGAAGUUGUGUUUUGAACCUAAGAAUGAAGUUAGUUUGAAGGCAAAGUGCAGCAGUUUCAUUCUCGGUUGUUUAGAGCUUAAUGUAAAAUAGUUGCAGAAAGUUUCAAAAAAUGCAGAAAUUUUCUACGUUGCAUGCAUGAAAAUUCAGGAAAAUUACCCUUUAACCCCUCAGGUUUCACCUUAUGUUACUAUGACCCAACAAAUAGAAUAAUUUCUUCAAUUGGACCCCUGAGAUUUUUGCAGCAAUGCAUUAUGGCCCAAUUACAUUCCAUGUUCUUGCAAUUAGGUCCUAAGGUGUUUGCAUUCGAAUCAUUAAUUGAUCUUUAUUAUUUUGGGGACCUUUGAAGCUCUUUGAUGAUUCAUUUUGACGUUGAUUGUGAUUGAUUAGUGAUCAUUAUUGGGUCCUAGAAAUGCAAGUUUAAACCAUUCAUGGACCUUCAUUCACUCUUGAAUUCUUGAGAUAUGAUGUUUGCUUGGACUUUAAUUUUUACUUGGGGACCUUUGAGUUUUUAAAUGCUUCAAUUAGGUUCAAAUGAUUUGAGUAGUGCUUGCAUUUGGGUCUUUAGUGGAUGUUAUGCUUGGAGGUUGGAUGAUCAUGUCUUUGCUUGGUCUUUAAUUAGCUUUUUACUUCAUUAAGUUGUAAUUGGGGGAAAAUUUGAUGAUUUGGUGGAUUCCAAUUGUUUUGUUUAUAUCUUAUAAUUAAAUUGGUGCGUUAAUCCUUUGCUUUGAAUGGUCUUAGCACAUGUUAUCCCGUUAGUUGGUGACUUAGCCCAGUUUAAAUCUCGUCCAUUUAACACUACAAAAGGGAGCGGUAUAAUUCCUUUUAUCUUUUUUGUUUCUCUUAUGUGACUCAACGUGCUAAGUGAAUUGCAUGUCUACUUUGCUUUCUUAACUUUUCUUUAAUUCCUUUUACUUAUGUCAUUUACUUUUUGCUUUCAUUAAGUUAUUCUUUUAAUGGGGUAUGUGUACACCUCUUGGCUUGUAAUAGAUAGGGCUGUGGCGAGCAAUUUGGUCCAUUUUCCCCUCCCCUUUUUGUUUUAGUUAGUGAAUGUAAUAGGUUCAUUAGUUUGGUUGCAUGCCUACGUGUUAAGUGUUUAAUCGCUUUAUUAGGCCCUUGCAUCUAGUCAAGCAUGCUAAGUGUUAUGUGCUACGUGUUUAUAAGUGAUUCGCAUGUCUACUCGCUUUUUUAUAGUGUGUAUGAAUGGAAUGGAUGAAUGUACGUCACCACACUAGUCCAACGCUAGUUGUGGCUUCUUUUAUCGUUUCCACUAGUCCAACGCUAGUCGGAAUUCAUAGGAGGGGCUAGUCCAAUGCUAGACCCAAUAGGUUUUUUUUUCCCUUUUUCAUGAAGUGCAUGAUCACCACAUAUCAUGCAUUUUUCCUUAGUUUAUCAUUUGGUAUGUUCCUCAAACCCCUUCCCCUUCACUUUAGGACUUGCAUCUCAUGCUAGUUAGGGUUCAUUUGCGUGAAAAUCCCCUUCCGAUAAGGGAAACGAGCGAGUGUGGCUACUCGAUAGCCUUAGCACGCUAGUUUCGCCUUCUAAUCCGAGGGAAAAUCAAAGUCGAAGAAUUAGGCGUCAUCCCCAUACCCAAUUUGUUGCAUUCCCUUAGGGACAUAUUUUCAUUUUUUCUCACUUCCAUGCUCUUUUAAUCACCUUUUUUUCCACAUUUCUCAAUCCAUAUUUUUCACUAUGUUUUACUCAUCUUACUCCACAAGUAGAAUUCAAAUUUCACAUAUAUAUUUAUAAUCCUAUCUUCAUUCAUUUGCACACACUAAUACUUUGAUUUUUCAUCCAAAUUCACACGUGCACUUUCUUUACACACUCACACACUAAUACUUUGAUUUUUCAUCCAAAUUCACACGUGCACUUUCUUUACACAUGCGCACACAAACACUUUGUUUUUACACCAUUUCAUACAUGAAUCUUUUCAUACACUUGCACACUUGCACUUGAGUCACCAUUUGCAUCAAUCGGCCUCUAUGAGGUUUCCCUUUAUUGGCCGCCACAAUUCAUGUGGUCUGGGACCAAAAACCUCACGAGAGACAUCGUAGAAUUUAGGAUUGCAUUUUUUCGUUUUUGCAUAGGCAUAAUCCAACAUGCAAUACAUACCCUGGGUAGAAAGUCAGGAAAGUUAGGGUUAAGUCACGCAACUAGCCUUGGCUAGGUCAAAGGGGUGCCUUGGAGUCUAUCCUUGCCUUCCCCUUUGUCAAACGUGACUCCCGAACCUUUUUCUUUGUUUUACGUAGACUAGGAGUCGUUUUAAAAAGGGUUUAUUACUACUUGACUUUAAAACUCAUUUUUAGGUGACUUGGUACACCUUAAAUCAUUACCAAGUGGCGACUCCAAACUUUUCAUUUCAAAACUCUUUUUAAAACUAUUUUUUGGGUCAAAUCGUCGCUUUCCAAGUCCCAUUGAGACCCAUGUCUUUUCAACUCACAAAAAUCAUUUUCCAAUCACAAUUGAAUCAAAAACUACAUUUUCUCAAACUAUUUUAUUUUUCUUAUCAAAAAAUGGGGCGCGACACCUCCCCUCAAAGUGCCCGUUUUGCCUGAAUGGAGAGUCUCAAGAUCAUGUCCUAUCCGGCUGCUCCCUGGCAUCUGAGGUCUGGAGUUUCUUCGCCAAGGCCAGCUGGGUUCCCAAUGCACCUUUGACGGGCGUCCUCUGCCGGCUGCAGCAAUGGUGGCUUUGUCACCCUCCAGGUUCCGCAAGGGGAAAGCUGUGUAGGGUGUUGCCGUCGCUAAUCUGUUGGGGACUUUGGAAGGCUCGAAACUUGGCGGUUUACGAGGGGGUUAUUUUAACAACAUCGCAGGUUUGCUGGAAUAUUCAAUCUUUGCUUCGUCAAGUGUCCCAAGUCUGGCCUCUCACUCAAGUGACUCGGGAUGAUGGGGAGUUGGUUCACUCGGGCUUGUUACUUCGACUUACACCACGUGAGCGGUUGGCCCCGCGCUGGGUCUUCUGGGAAAAACCACCGUAUGGGUAUGUCAAACUGAAUGUUGACGGCUCAUCUUUAGGGAAUCCAGGCUCCUCUGGUGCUGGGGGGUGCUCCGUGACUCGGGGGGUUGUGUCCUAUGCGGUUUCUCCUCCUUUUUGGGAUCAGGGACAAAUAUGGAAGCGGAAGCCUCGGCAUUACUGGAAGGUAUGUUGCUCUCCACUGAUUUCCAUUUUCUACAGGUUGAAAUGGACUCUCAGGUUUUGCUGGCUAUGGUGAAUGGUGAUGGAAGAAUACCUUGGAAACUAUGGAAGACUAUCUCCCGCAUCCAAACCCUAGCACUGGGCCGCCAGGUCACCUUCACUCACGUUUAUCGAGAGGCAAACGGGGUUGCCGACGCGCUUGCAAAUCUAUCUAGUUCCACAGGUGUCUGUCAAAGUUUUAAUGUGUCCACACUUCCGGGCCAUAUACGGGGGCUAGCCCGCCUAGAUAGGAUGCACAUCCCUUAUGUACGUUUGGCUUAGCCUUCCUGGCAACCGUUUAGACCAUAUCUGCUGUAUGUGGUGUGUUCCUUGAAUAAAUUUUGGAGUGGCGCCCCCCCUCGUGAACGAGGUUAGCCAAAAAAAAAAAAAACCUUGACAAAUUAAAGGGAAGAAAGAAUAAUUGAGUAUAAAAUCAGGAUUUAUAUGAUGAUGAUUACUUGAUAAGAAUCAUCCUAUAUUUGAAUUUAAUUUUGAAAAUUUGUUAAUUGAAGGGGUUGAAAUCAGUCGAAACAACUAAAAGAUAAAUUUAAAUAAUAGGAUUUUUAUGAAAUUAUAUUUCAAAAAAAUUAGAAUAUCAGGAGUGAAGGUAGAAAGCAUGGGCGAGAGAAACUCAUGAAAAAGGGAUUUAGAGUGAAAUAUAGAAAGUGUGUAUUUAACCAAAGAGUGCGUUGAAACUCACUAGAUAGGAAAAAGAUAAGAUAAGCAGAUAAAUAUUACAAUAUGAUUUUAUUAAACAUAUAGAAAUAUUAUAUUAACUACAAAAGCUACAAUUUGUAAAACCAUUAUACAUUAUAUGAUUAGCCUUUGUUUUACCUAUUUUUAGUUAGGAUUUAAGUUAUAUUUUGGUGUGUUUUAAGUUAAAAUGGAAGAAUUGAAUUCCUUUGUAAGUUAUUUUUCAUACAAGUAGUGUUUCUUAACCAAAACAUGCAAAAUUGUGGGAAAAUAUGCAAAAUUGUGUUGUUUUGUAGGUUUUGGUAUCAAAGGAAGAGAUUCAAGUCAAAAGGAGUUUCACAACUUUGACACACUUUGGUGUUUUCGGUUCCAAGUAUCAGAUUGAGGUAAUUCUUAAACCAUUUUGAAACUAAGACAUAGUUCUACAAUUCAUAUGCAGACAUCGAAAUUCAAUUCUUUGAGUUUCCUAAUCAAAAAGUCGAAAUACAGUCACCAAAAUUUAUGUCAAAAGCUAAAUUAGAGCAUUUACCAUUCAAGGGUAUUUUGAUAAUUUUUCAGCCUACAGAGAUCCAAAUGAGAUGAUUCUUAAUGCACUGGAAAGGUAAUUCAAAGAGUUACCGUGAGGACUCGAAAAUUUGUCUUAUUUUUAAUCAUUUAAUUUUAUUUUCUUUCAUGUAUUUUCAUACUAUACUUUAUUAUAUUGAAUUUCCAUAGAUUUUUAUAAGCAAGUCUAUAUUUUAAAUUAUUUUUCCAGCGUUCAUGAUACGUUUGGCGUGUAGUAAGGACGUGGGACCCGCUAGUGCGAUAAAUUUUCGAUAAAUAAGUGAAACGUACACAAGAGGAUAUUACUGUAUAAGGUGCUAGGAGAUAAUUGGAGGUUAGUUAGAUAGAUUACCAUUGAGAGACAAGAGGAUAAGUUUGAAAACAAAAGGUGCCAAGUGUCGCGAUUUGGUUAGUGUUGGACUUUGACUAUUUUUCCUCCACCUUUACUAAACCCAAAAUUUGACCAAGAUCAUCUUCAUUUCCUCCUAGAGCUGGCCGAAAUUUGGAGAGCAAAAGAGAGAGAAAAUCUUCAUCCUUCACUUCAAUUUCUCGCCCAAAUCUUGAGUUUCAACCGAUUAAUUUGCAAACUACUCCAUAAAACUUACUUCCCAAGUAGUUUCCAAGGUGUUUGUGGAGUUAUUUUUGGAGGACAAAGCCUCAGCUACCAUCUUUCUUAGGGAGAUAAGGUAAGUUGUCAAGAAACACCUUUACUUCAAUUAAUGGGCAAUUUGUGGUUAUAGUUGUUGAAUUAGUAAUUUUGUGAGAGAAUUAUAUAGGUUGAAGUAGGUUUAUGAAAAUUUCAGUUUCUUGGUGAAUUUUCUGCCCUAAUAUGAAGAUUAAUGAUUAGUUAUGGUUUGAUAGUUUUGAUAUGUGAAAUAGCUAGUGUUUAGAUGUUAGUUUACUUGGCCUAAAGAAAUUUCUGGUUGUAAGCAUAAAUUCCAGCUUGGAUGAUAAUCCGCCCUGCUUCUGCCCGGUUCUAUUUCACCAUGUUAGAGGCCGAACUAGCCUUAGUACAAAACAUGAAAGUUGUAGGGAAUGAUGUUUUAUAGUUUUUAACAAAAUUUCACCUCAAUCGGAGUAACAUAGCCUAUAAAAUGACCGAAAUACCCUUGACUGCCCAUAACCCCUAAUUUCGCGGACAGUUUUCUAUCUUCGUGGGAAUUUCAAUUUUUGACUCUGAAAAUGGAUGAUUUAGCUUUGGAGGUCUUCAUAAGAAAAGUAGGUAUAUAUCUUGGUUUCGAAACGCCAUAAGAUACACCUCAAUCGGAAUUCGGCAUAAAAGUUGUAGCCCUCUGUCUUAGCUUUGAAAUGGUAUAAAUUGCACCCCAAUCCGAUAAGUAUAGUUUUAGUUGUGUGCAUUACGCAAAACAACGUCAAAUCUGUCUUUUGUUUUCCAACUCAACCUUCAUUUCCGCACAUGCUCCUAGCUUGAUUUUGUACUUGUAUGACUUGGGGCCUAUGGAAUGGCUAUUGAAAUGAGAUUAUUUGUUGUGUAACUUUGGGAUUGAUUGAGGAAAAGAAUGAAGCCAUAAAUGGGUGGAAAAUAGGUAAAUACAAAGGGCAUGCUGCCCAAAUUUACGCUCGAGAACUAGGUCGAUAUACUUGCGACUUGAGUAAGGCUUGAGAGCGAGUACCACGCGAACCAUCUAGGGUAUUUACGUUUUCUUUGCCACUUCGACUCAAAUAGCGAUUUUAAAGUUUUACAAGUGAGUCUAAGUUUACAAAUAUUUUACUUAUGUCCUUUGAUUUCAAUGUACUUUUUCCACUACCAAAACCAUAUUUAUACUUUGUACUAGUACGUAUGUGACUUUUCUUUGACUCACUUAUAUCUUUGAUGGUUGAAGCAUAAUGUGUUCGUUUGAUUAUAUUAGGAUACCUUGGUGAUUGAGAGUGUAUCCGGAAGGAAACUUUGGACGUUAUUUUGCGUAAAUAGGUGAGUGUUCCUUGUUUGUUAUAUUUUCAUUGCCUAUGUGGCUUGUUCUUGCUUAUAUGACUUGUUAUGAAUGAAUGAUAACAUGUUAAAUGUUUUCAAUGAUUGCAUAAAAUGACUUUGUUAGGCGAGUGUGUACUUUAUCGCACUCAACCUAAAUGAAAUGUGAAAUUUUCAAUGUUUAAGUGAUUAAAUGCUAGUUGUGCAUGAAUGUAAGUCUCUUGGCUGAACUGGGCCCUACCCUUCGUUACUGAUCGACUCGAGCUAGAAGCAGAUUCAGUCGGGCAAUUUAGUGACCCUGGGUGAACGUUUGGUAUAUUCGAGUAUUACCUUGAAAUCUGGUGGAGCCUGGCCAAUGUCCGGGAAGGGGGUGAAUGAAAUGAAUGAACGAAUGUCAACGCAAAUGAGGGAUUUUACUUAUCAAAAUGUAUUUUCAAAUGGUUGGAAGAAUAAGGGGAAAUGACAAGAGAAUGAAUGAACGAAUGAAUGAAUGGCUCCUUGUGAGCACGUAUCCUUUUAAUCAAUGUGUUCUUAUCACUUUCCAUUGUAAUGUUUCUUGAGUUAUUGAUUGUUUAUGAUAACUGCAUUGAACUUAUCGCUUGAUUAUAUGUUCGGAACCUCACUGAGCUUUUAGCUCAUCCCUUUAGUUUUGUUUUCCUUAACAGAGGAAUGCGGGCAAGGACGAGAGCUCGGUGUAGACUAGCUUGGUCUAGUUCUUUCAUUUCUUUUGUAAUGGUUCUCGCCCUAGUGCUUGGCAUGGGCUGGUGUAUGAAGAAUUGAGAACCUUUGUAUAUUCAAUAGUUGAACUCCCUUUUGAGAUAGAAAUGUAGAUAAAUUUUGUUUUAAGUUUUGGAUUUUGUUAUACAAAUUCUUGUGGUUUUAUUCCGAUUUUGAUUGAGGUCUAAAGUGAACGACUAAGUCCCGGCGAGAGUUGGGCAGGAGGUCCGCCGAACCUUUUGGUUCGCCUUAGGGUGAGGUGGUGCUGUCACAGUUGGUAUCAGAGCUUAUUUCGCGUGGUCUCUGUACGGAGUGAGCCUGGACUGAGUGGUGAAUAGGUAUGAAGGAUUAAGUGCUCGUUCGAGCAUAAGCUUUGAAGUGUGGAUGUUAUAGGUCUUAAAUUUUCUUGUGGUAUUUGAGGACCAUAGAUAGGUACGUCUGGUAGGAAUUUCGAUUGUAGAUGGUUUACUCUUGGGACUGGCCAACUCGAGAUGUGAAUUAUUUUAUUUCGGAUUCUUGUGCCCGAGUACUCCAGAGUUGAGGCGAUGCUAGCUACUAGGUACUUGAGACUUGUAUUUUGGAAACAUGAACAGGCUUUGUCCAGCUAGAAUAAGUAUAAGAGGUCUGCGGACAUCUAGUGAAUAGAAAGUGACGUGAGAGAUCGGACGGGGUUAUUUUAACUGGGACUGGGACGAUAUUCCCCUUUUCUUUUGAUUUGUCCUUAUACUGUUACUCCUUGUCCUUGUUUGUGGUAUGUUAACAUUUACACGUGUACCAUUGACCGCAUUUGAUUAUUUGUUUAAUGUGAUACGUUUCCUUGAUAUAUGGUGUGUUAUGUGUAUAUAUGUCUUUUGUGUAUUUGGUGUGCUAGAAUUUCGUUAUUCUAGACAACUCACUGCGUUUAUUCACUACAUUACUUUUUGGGGACAAGAAAAGAAAAGAGAGGGAAAAAAAUAUAUGGAGGGGAGACGUGGUCGUGGACGUGAUCGAUGCCGUGGAACUAAGCGGACCCCAGAACCAAGAGAAGAAAGGGAAAUGUCCGCCGAGCAAGAGCAGGGACCGAGAGUUGUGGCUGGAGACCAAAUGGCGACGGCAAUGCAACAAAUGAUGGAUAUCUUGGCAAGACUGGUGGAUCAACAAGGCCAAAUACCCGUAAACCAAACCCGGAACCCUGAGAUGGGUGAGGAUAAGGCUCUUUAAAGGUUCCAAAAUUCCUUGGAGGGCCCGAUCCGGACGUAGCUGAACAAUGGGUAGAAACCAUGGUUAAUUUUCACAGCUCUAAACUACACUGAGCAAAGGCAAGUGAACUUUGCAGUGUUCCAAUUUGAGGGACCGGCCCGAGCGUGGUGGAACGUUAUUAAAGCAAAAUGAGAAAGAGAACAGAUUGCGUGGACAUGAACAAAUUUCAUACGGGAAUUUAACGAGAAGUACCUCCCACCUCUAGUCCAAGAGAGGAGAGAGGAGGAAUUUAUUGGAGUGCGUCAGGGAACUCAAACUGUGGUCGAAUAUGAAACGAAAUUUACGAAACUAUCCAAGUUUGCUUCCGAAUUGGUAGCCACAGAACGGCGAAGAGUAAGGUUGUUCAUACAGGGAUUAAAUUUGAAAAUCCAGGAAGCCUUAGCGGCAGUGCAAGUGAAUACGUUUACGGAGGCUCUUAAGAAAACUCAAAGAAUUGAGGCGGCAAAAGCACAGGUAAAAGCCUCCCAAACUCAGAAAAGGGGUACAUCGGAUAGUAUAGUGGGUGAAUUAAGUGAAACGAUAGCACCUCCUAAAGUGCAGAAAGUGAACCCGUUACUCCGCCCACCAUGGACCUUAGGAGCAGUAGAUGAAGGGUCUAUGAAAGGAAGUCGGAUCGGAUCCAAGGAAAUUUCUCGAGAAGAUCAAAUGGUAGCUCCCCGAUUGGUCUGUGGAUACUGUGGAAAGGCCAAUCACACUGAAGGCAAUAGUUGGAGGAAAGGGUGGAAAUGUUUGAUCUGUGGAAGCGGUGAUCAUCGAGUUAGCAACUGUCCGCGGAGACAGUCACAUGAAGGUAGUACUCCGCAACCGGAUGGAGCCAAAUCGAAACAAGCGAAUAAAGAGAGAACAGAACAACAGUACCGGCAAUGGUAUAUGCCUUAGACAACCAACAAGCUCUUGAGCCAUCUGAAGGUAAAAUUUCGAAGACGAAAUUUCUUAAGGGGGAGAGAGUGUGAGGACUCGAAAAUUUGUCUUAUUUUUAAUCAUUUAAUUUUAUUUUCUUUCAUGUAUUUUCGUACUAUACUUUAUUAUAUUGAAUUUCCAUAGAUUUUUAUAAGCAAGUCUAUAUUUUAAAUUAUUUUUCCAGUAUAAGAUAGUUCAUGAUACGUUUGGCGUGUAGUAAGGACAUGGGACCCGCUAGUGCGAUAAAUUUUCGAUAAAUAAGUGAAACGUACACAAGGGGAUAUUACUGUAUAAGGUGCUAGGAGAUAAUUGGAGGUUAGUUAAAUAGAUUACCAUUGAGAGACAAGAGGAUAAGUUUGAAAACAAAAUGUGCCAAGUAUCGCGAUUUGGUUAGUGUUGGACUUUGACUACUUUUCCUCCACCUUUACCAAACCCAAAAUUUGACCAAGAUUAUCUUCAUUUCCUCCUAGAGCUGCCCGAAAUUUGGAGAGCAAAAGAGAGAGAAAAUCUUCAUCCUUCACUUCAAUUUCUUGCCCAAAUCUUGAGUUUCAACCAAUUAAUUUGCAAACUACUCCAUAAAACUUACUUCCCAAGUAGUUUCCAAGGUGUUUGUGGAGUUAUUUUUGGAGAACAAAGUCUAAGCUACCAUCUUUCUUAGGGAGAUAAGGUAAGUUGUCAAGAAAUUUCUUUACUUCAAUUAAUGGGCAAUUUGUGGUUAUAGUUGUUGAAUUAAUAAUUUUGUGAGAGAAUUAUAUGGGUUGAAGUAGGUUUAUGAAAAUUUCAGUUUCUCGGUGAAUUUUCUGCCCUAAUAUGAAGAUUAAUGAUUAGUUAUGGUUUGAUAGUUUUGAUAUGUGAAAUAGCUAGUGUUUAGAUGUUAGUUUACUUGGCCUAAAGAAAUUUCUGGUUAUAAGCAUAAAUUCCAGCUUGGAUGAUAACCUGCCCUGCUUCUGCCCGGUUCUAUUUCACCAUGUUAGAGGCCGAACUAACCUUAGCACAAAACAUGAAAGUUGUAAAGAAUGAUGUUUUAUAGUUUUCUGCAAAAAUUUCAGCUCAAUCGGAGCAACAUAGCCUAUGAAAUGAUCAAAAUACCCUUAACUGCCCAUAACCCCUAAUUUCGCGGACAGUUUUCUAUCUUCGUGGGAAUUUCAAUUUUUGACUCUGAAAAUGCAUGAUUUAGCUUUGGAGGUCUUCGUAAGAAAUGUAGGUAUAUGUCUUGGUUUCGAAAUUCCAUAAGAUACACCUCAAUCGGACUUCGGCAGCCUGAGUUAUUGUCGUUGAAUCAAAGUGCAGUUAACAAGCCCGAAUGUGAGAUGCUGGUUCUGUAAUUUGGAAUUUUCACUUAGAUACACUACAAACUGGACUGAGUUGUCUUCAUAAAAGUUGUAGCCCUCUAUCUUAGCUUUGAAAUGGUAUAAAUUGCACCCCAAUCCGAUAAGUAUAGUUUUAGUUGUGUGCAUUACGCAAAACAACGUCAAAUCUGUCUUUUGUUUUCCAACUCAACCUUCAUUUCCGCACAUGCUCCUAGCUUGAUUUUGUACUUGUAUGACUUGGGGCCUAUGGAAUGGCUAUUGAAAUGAGAUUAUUUGUUGUGUAACUUUGGGAUUGAUUGAGGAAAAGAAUGAAGCCAUAAAUGGGUGGAAAAUAGGUAAAUACAAAGGGAUGCCCAAAUUUACGCUCGACAACUAGGUCGAUAUACUUGCGACUUGAAUAAGGCUUGAGAGCGAAUACCACGCGAACCAUCUAGGGUAUUUACAUUUUCUUUGCCACUUCGACUCAAAUAGCGAUUUUAAAGUUUUACAAGUGAGUCUAAAUUUACAAAUAUUUUACUUAUGUCCUUUGGUUCCAAUGUACUCUUUUCACUACCAAAACCAUAUUUAUACUUUGUACUAGUACGUAUGCGAUUUUUCUUUGACUCACUUAUAUCUUUGAUGGUUGAAACAUAAUGUGUUCGUUUGAUUAUAUUUGGAUACCUUGGUGAUUAAGGGUGUAUCCGGAAGGAAACUUUGGACGUUAUUUUGCGUAAAUAGGUGAGUGUUCCUUGUUUGUUAUAUUUUUAUUGCCUAUGUGGCUUGUUCUUGCUUAUAUGACUUGUUAUGAACGAAUGAUAACAUGUUAAAUGUUUUCAAUGAUUGCUUAAAAUGAGUUUCUUAGGCAAGUGUGUACUUUAUCGCACUCGACCUAAAUGAAAUGUGAAAUUUUCAAUGUUUAAGUGAUUAAAUGCUAGUUGUGCAUGAAUGUAAGCCUCUUGGCUGAACUGGGCCCUGCCCUUCGUUACUGAUCGAUUCGAGCCAGAAACGGACUCGAUCGGGCGAUUUAGUGACCCUGGGUGAACGUUUGGUAUACUCGAGUAUUACCUUGAAAUCUGGUGGAGCCUGGCCAAUGUCCGGGAAAGGAGUGAAUGAAAUGAAUGAACGAAUGUCAAUGCAAAUGAGGGAUUUUACUUAUCAAAAUGUAUUUUCAAAUGAUUGGAGGAAUAAGGGGAAAUGACAGGAGAAUGAAUGAACGAAUGAAUGAAUGGCUCCUUGUGAGCACGUAUCCUUUUAAUCAAUGUGUUCUUAUCGCUUUCCAUUGUAAUGUUUCUUGAGUUAUUGAUUGUUUAUGGUAACUGCAUUGAACUUAUCGCUUGAUUAUAUGUUCGGAACCUCACUGAGUUUUUUGCUCAUCCCUUUAGUUUUAUUUUCCUUAACAGGGGAAGGCGAGCAAGAACGAGAGCUCGGUGUAGACUAGCUUGGUCUAGUUCUUUCAUUUCUUUUGUAAUGGUUCUCGCCCUAGUGCUUGGCAUGGGUUGGAUGUAUGAAGAAUUGAGAACCUUGUAUAUUCAAUGGUUGAACUCCCUUUUGAAAUAGAAAUGUAGAUAAGUUUCGUUUUAAGUUUUGGAUUUUGUUAUACAAAUUCUUGUGAUUUUAUUCCAGUUUUGAUUGAGGUCUAAAGUGAACGACUGAGUCCCGGCAAGAGUUGGGCAGGCGGUCCGUCGAACCCUUUGGUUUGCCUUAGGGUGAGGUGGGGCUGUCACAGUUACAAUUUCAUGUUUUGAACAAGAGCUAAUUUGUCUCUAUCAUCAAGAAAAUUGCAGUUGAAAUUGAACCAAAAUAGAGCAAAGUUGAGUUUUUAGUUGAAAGUGCAAAACUGAGCACAAAGAAGAUCCAUGAGGUAGAUCUACGAGGUGCAGGUUGCAUAUCCACCUCACAGAUCCCCGAUUCGUAGCUGCAACUUGCUCUACAACUUACAUUUAGUUCACACAACCUUUUGACAAAUUUUUCUGCAAAAAUUCCGACUGAAACCAACUAAAUUUGAGUUGGAGAAGUAAAAAACAAAUUUGUGACUACCUUAUAUGUACAUCUUCUCAACCAAAAAUAUUUAUAAAUACCCUUUAUAUCUCAUUCAUUUGAGUAUCAUUUUAGCAAGAGAUAGCACCUUGUAGAGUAAAAGUAGAGAUAGAAGUAGUUAACUCUAGUUUCAUAUUGAGAGUUUCUUUCUUUGUUUAAAGUGUUUUGAGAGAGAGGUGCAAACACUCUUGUAUCAAACUUAUUUAAGAGAUCAACUUUUGAAGGAAUUCAAGGAUUCAAGUUUUAUGAUAUUGAAUAAGAAUUCUUCUUCCUAAAUUUUGUCUCUUGUUCUUAUUUGUCAUGCUUUGUUUCAAGUUUAGGUGCUCUUAAAAUGAUGUCUAGCUAAGUUUUUUCAUAUCUUAGGAUAAAUAUAAACUUGUUAUAGUUUUGAUUCAAAAUAGUUAGGGGAUGAUUAUGAUUUUUCAUGAUUUGUUAGUUUGAGAACUUGUGCUUAUGCUUUAUAGUUGUUUGCCCAUCAAUUGUGAAUGAUUUGAUACUUGUUGAGUAAUGAAAGUUGCCUUCAAUAGAUCUAAGUUUUUAAACACUAGCUUUAUUCUCACGAAAGUAGUGAAUAAUGUUUGAUUGGAUACAUAUAAUAGCUUCAUUGAACUUAUUUAAUUUGUUUCUUAUCUUUUCUCUAUGAACAUAGGUGAAGGAUGAUUGAAGUAGUUAAAGGAAUUGGCGAAAGCAAUUUCUAGAGAAAUUAGUCAAUGCGAUUUCUCUUAACAUUGUCCAUUGGCAAAAGUAAGGAUGUAUAAUUGGAAGUUAUUCGUUGACAAAUCAUGAAGGUAUAAAGCAUAAUCACCAUUAAUCCAGCUAUUUGAACUUUCCGACUUAAAGCAUCCGCUACAACAUUAGCCUUCCCCUGGUGGUAGUUAAUUGUACAGUCAUAAUCCUCAAUAAAUUUCACCUACCGACGCUGUUUCAAGUUUAGUUUCUUCUGAAAGAUUAGAUAUUUCAGACUCUUAUGAUCGGUAUAAAUCUCAAAAGUCAACCCAUAUAAGUAAUGCCUCUAUUUCUUUGGGGCAAAAAUUAUUGCGACCAAUUCCAAAUCAUGAGUUGGGUAAUUCUGCUCAUGGGAUUUUAAUUUUUUAGAGGCAUAGGCAAUCACACUUUCAUUCUGCAUUAGAACACAUUCCAAUCCUGCUCUUGAGGCGUUAGUAUAUACAGAGAAAUUGUCCUUUCCAUUUGGUAAGGCUAAGACUGCUGCCGAAGUUAACCGUUUCUUUAAUUCUCGGAAACUAUCUUCACACUUAGAACCCCAGACAAAUUGACCAUGCUUUUUCAUCCGGUCAGUUAAAGGGCCAGCUAAUUUGGAGAAAUCUUUAAGUUGGUGUUUCUACUCAGAUACGUCUUCUACUUUCACUGGAUCUAUAGAAAUGUCAUUUUUAGAUAUUACAUGCUCUAGAAAAAAAAUUUGCUCUAACCAAAACUCACACUUACUAAACUUGACAUAUAACUGGUGUUCUCUCAUGGUCUGCAAAACUACUCUCAAAUGUCUUUCAUGAUCCUCUCGAAUCUUAAAAUAUACCAAGAUAUCAUCUAUGAACGCCACGAUAAAUUGGUCCAAAUAAAGUUUAAAGACUCGAUGCAUUAAAUCCAUGAAUGCACCCGAAACAUUUGUUAAACCAAAAGGCAUCACUGCAAACUCGAAAUGUCCAUAUCUGAAAUUAAAAGCAGUAUUCGAUAUGUCCUUCUGCAUAAUUCGUAGCUGAUAAUAACCUUGGCUCAAGUCCAACUUAGAGAAAAUUAUUGCUCUUUGUAACUGAUCAAACAAUUCGUCAAUGUACAGCAAAUGAUAUUUAUUUUUCACCGUGACAUCAUUUAAGCCGCGAUAGUCGAUACACAGUCUCAAACUGCCAUCCUUCUUUUUAACAAAUAGAACAGACGCUCCCCAAGGUGAUUCACUUUUUCGAAUAAACCCUCGUUCUAACAAAUCUUGUAACUGCAGUUUUAGUUCCUCAAGUUCGGCGGGAGCCAUUCGGUAUGGCGUUUUUGCAAUAGAAGCGGUUCCAGGUACCAAAUCGAUUUUAAAUUCUAUUUUCCUCUUUGGCGGUAUCGACUUCAACUCGUCAGGAAAAACAUCAGGAAAUUUAUUUACCACUAACAAAUUCUCCAGUUUCACCUUAUCUCCAGAAAUAUUAAUCAAGAAGGCUAAGUAACCCUGCGCCCCUUUAUUCAAUAAUUUCUUGACUCGAAUUCCCGAAACAAGUGCAGAUGAAACUAAUCUAUCUCUCACAUCCAAUCUUAGAAUUGCUUCCCAGGUAUACAGAACUCCACCACCUUAAUCUUACAAUUCAGUUGAGCAUUAUAACAAGCCAACCAAUCCAUGCCUAUAAUCACGUCAUACCUCUUGAGGUCUAAACUUAUCAAGUCUAUCACCAACUUCCGUUCUCCUACCCAAAUCUCACAAUUUUUGUAAACUAUGUCGGUAAUUAGGUUUUGAUCCCCAAUAGGUGUUCUAACCUCCAAAUCAUAGGCUAAUUUAAUAGGACUUUUAUCAAUACCACAUAUGAAGGCAGGAUUCACAAAAGAAUAGGUUGCCCCAGGAUCAAUUAAAAGCUUAAUUAAGUGGUGAAAUAUAGGGAUCGUACUUUCUAUUACUUCAAAUGAUUCAGGGGCUCGCUGAUGGUCCAAAACAAAAAUCCUAGCAGAGGAUUUUGGUCUACUCCCACUGGCAGUAGGUUGUUUAGAGUUUGACUUCUCUGGCUGCACACCCUCAUUCCCUUCAUGGAGUUAACAGGAUAGGCUGUGAUCUGAUGCUUGGAACUAUCAUAACGAAGAUAUUUCUUCAUUUUUCGCCAGCAAGUAUCCUCGAUGUGGUUCGCCUUACCACAAUACCCACAGUUCACCCGAGGAGUUGGUGCAGGAUUUUCUUGGAAGACAGUCCUUUGUUAUCCUUUCCCGUUGUGAGUCCCUCUGGAUGGAGCUCCUCUCGGUGUCCCUGAGAUACAAACUCCACCCGUACCUCUUCCAAACUUAAGAGGCGGUACAUUCUAAUCGCCUCACCCAGUAGUACUGUUAGAUGCACCUCGUCUCUUUGCUUGAAAGUCUGAACCUGAAAUCAGGCUUGCUCCACUCAUUGAGCUUUCUCAAACGUAUCAAUUUGGGUUACAGCUAAGUCUUUUUGAAUUUUCACAUUCAAUCCAUAUAUAAAUUGCCUUAUGCAUUUCUGCUCAUUAACCACCAGUUUCGGAGCAAAUUUAGAGAGUCUGGUGAACUGGAUCUCAUAUUCCAUCACACUCGAAGUGCCUUGGCGCAGUUUGAUAAAUUCAUCCUCUAUUUUCUCCUAAAUAAAGGGCAGAUGAAACUUCUCGUUAAAUUUCCUGGUGAAGUUAAACCAAGUACAUGGAGUUUGCUUCCUGUCCUAUUUUACCCUUACUACGUUCCACCAGGAACGGGCCGCACCUUCCAACUGGAAAACGACGAAGGUCACUUGUCUCUCCUCAGUAUAGUGCAAUGCAGCAAAUAUAUCCACUAUUAUUUCAAACUAAUUUUCGGCAAUUUCGGGAUCUGAUCCUCCAAGAAAUUUUAAAGGAGCAAACUUUUGGAAUCGUUUCAAGGCCCUGUUUUCACCUACUUCAGGAUCCCUUUGCUGAUUACCAGGUACUUGACCUUAUUGGUCAACCAGUCGAACUAACAAGUCAGUCAUACGGUUAAUAGCCGUAGCUAUCUGGUACCUUUUUUCACCUCCAGGUCCCUGGUUCUGAUUCGCCAUAGAUCCUUGUUCUCUUCUUGCCUGAGUCCACGCCCACGGCCCCGACCAUGUUGUCGUCCACCCCCCAUUAUUUCUUACCGGUCUAGGGUCCCUGAAUUAUAACUAAUUGUGUAAACAAGUAUUGGUAUAUAAUAGGUACUUGUGUGUAAUCAAAAGUCAAAGGAAAAUAAAGUCAAAAUCACGACAAGCAAGUGAAAACACAAAACAGUUAAAUACCAAAUCGAAAUAAAGUCAAAGUCAAAGUUAAUAUACAUUCAAAGGCUAAUAUCAAUUAUUUAUAAGCCAACAAGGCCAAAAUAUCAAGCACAAGCUCCAAAAGUACAGACACAGAUCAUUAAGUCAUGUCAUACAACCACCAAGUCAAACACAUCCGCUAACUUUACUAUGUAUAAUGAUCAAAAUCACCCAAAAUAGUAACCUAGUAGUCAAGACUUAGUUCGUCGGCGGGACUAGCUGACAUCCCAUCCUAGGCAGGUUCAACUCCUGCCUCGCCUCCUAUAUUAGAAACCUCAUCGCUUAAGUUCUCAAAUAGGUCAUCACAAACAUUCAGGAUUGACUCAGCUCUAGUCCUUACUUUUAUGAUUCCCCUAACCAGUCGCUCCUGGCCCUCCCCAAGUUGUGCGCAGAGAUCAUCGAUCCUUUCUUGACCCUCAAUUACAUCAUCCUCGAGUUCCUUAAUCCGGUCGACUUACAUUUUUAUAGUUUUCGUUAGUUGAUUCACUUCACCUUCAAGCCUAGCAUUGUCCUUCACUAGCGCCUUCCUUUCCUCCACCACAGCCAAGACUAUUGGAUUAGGAUAGGCGUAAGUAUGGCGGCACUCACAAUGCCGAUGGCGGUUAGCUGGACUCCAGUGUAUGAUAGCUCCUCCGGGCCUGAUCUGGUACCUAAUCAUCAGGAGUACCCCACGGGGCGGCUUGCCAACCUGAUUAUCACUAGGGUCACUUGGUCCGUCCGUCCUACACAAAGUAUAGAUAAAACUUAAGUACUCUUCAGGAAAAAUGAUCAAAUGUAAUCUUAUAGUCAAAAAUUUCUAAUACGCCUAGGUCAAUUCAAACCUAAGUUUUGAUACCACCUAUGAUAGCCCCAACUCUCUUGAGGGCGAAUCCUAAGGAUUAGCGAACUGCCUGCCCAAUUCUCACCAGGACUCAGUUGACUAAUGAACCAGAAAUCCAAGAAAACUAAUGAAAUAUCUUCAAAAGCAAAGGGUACAACCUUUUAUAGAAGUAUAAUCGCCUCGCCAACAUUCCAAACUUAAAUAUAAAGUUAAAAGUCAAACUUACCACUCCACACUUAAUUUGUAUAAUAUGUGGCAAACUUACAAGAGGCAAAAGUAAAGUCUUCUAACAAAAAGAAUACAAGCCAAAGUACAAGUUCAAAAUAAAAGUGUGUGAGAACCCGUAAAAACCCUAAUAUUCUUCCUAGGGUUUAUUACCCCUUAAUUGCAUAAUUUUUGCAUGUUCUGGCUUAGAAAUAUUUAUCUGGUGGAUUUUAUGAGCAAUUAUAGUUUUAAGAUGAUUUUUCUAGUAUUGGAGAGUUUUUAGAAAAUUAAGGAUAAAUAGUGGACGUGGGACCCACUAGUGCGAUAAGUUCGGAAAAAUUCGGCCAAUAAGGUUAAGUUUUGGAUACUGUGUAAAAUUUAUCGGGUGUUAAGUGAUAAGUAGUGUGUGUGAAGUGAUUGAUGUGAGAGAGAAAAGAAUGAUAAGAUUGCAUUUAAUAGAGUGACACAUGUCACUUUCUUAUUGGAUACCUUUUAUGAAUCACUAUUCACCUUUUGACAUUUUUUUGACUUUUGACCCAACUAAGUAAAUAUCCAAAAAUUCACCAAAAAUCAUCAUUUUUCUUCUCUUGUUGGCCGGCUCUCCUUAGCUCAAGAAGGAAGGGAACUUCUCCAUUUUUCAAGCUUCCACUUGGUCCAAUCUACCACAAACCAAAGCCUAGAGUUGAUUUCACUCCAUAAAAACUUUCCUUCUAGUGUUAGUAAGUAGUUUGGUGAGAUUUGUUUGAAGGCCUAAGGUGCUCCACAUCAUCCUCUCUCUUGGUUCUUGGUAAGUGAAGCUUGAAACACCCUACUAUCUCUAAUGAUGCUUAUUUGGUGCUUAAUGGAGGCAUGAGAGGAGUAAUAUGUGAUUUGUUUCUUGAUUUGGCUUGUUAUGGUGAAGUUUUUAUUUUAUUGGGAUUUUUUCUGGUUUAAUAUGAUCUUGAUGUUGGGGGCUUGUAUGAUGAAUUGUAAUGGUUGGAAAUGACUCUAGUGAGUGUGAAUUAUGGUUAAAUGCAAUCAAUUUUGGAUUUGGUGUGAAAUUUGAAAAGUUAGGGUUCUUGAAGCCCCAAUUCUGUCCGGUUUUAGAUCACUGUGUUAGAGGCCGAAUUUGACUUUGCUCAAAACAUGAAAGUUGUAGGUAUUGAUGUGUUUGAGGUGCCUGUAAAAUUUCAGGUCAUUUGGAUUAGUGUAGAGUGAGUUAUGACGAAAUUACUGUAGCUGUUCUGCUUUGGACAGAAUGCGAAAACUGCGUUUGUAUUUGGCCAUUUUGACUGGAAUUGGUUUGGAUUUUGAAGUUGGUGUCUUCUGAUGAAACGUAGCUGAAUGUCUUAGCUAUCAUAUGCCUUUGGAAUUUCAGCAUUUGGACUUGUAUGGACUGAGAUAUACCGAUUACAGUUUUCUGCGUUUUGCAAACCUGUUUUGGGAAUUCUGGUAUAGUAUUUGGCAUUUUCAACCUAGUUAAGCUAGGAACUGGAGUGAGUGACCUUCUACAUUGUUGUAGCCCUGUUUCAUAGCUUCGGAACGGUGGGUCUUACACCCCCAUCCGAUAACCGUAGAGAAUUUUACACCAUUACCGCAUAAUAAGGGCAAAACAGUUUUCUUUGUUAAGGCUUAAACUAAAGCCAUUUCCUAAUUUCUGGUUGCCUAUGAUGCUUAUAUAUGUUUAUAAAACCCUAUUGGGGUUGUGAUUGGCAUUGUUUUAUGGCUCGGUAUCGAGUCUCAUAGUACUUGCUUGCGUGUUCUAGGGCGUGACGGUGGUUCACGACUUUCCCCUGACGGAAGUGCAUGACAUAGCACUUAAUUGCUUUGUGAGUAUACUACUCACUUACUUGUUAUAAUGUGGCUUUGUGAUAUGUGUAUUUGAUGCCUUGAAGGCUUACUGGGAUAUUGGAAUUGAUUGAGGUGAGGGUGUACUUGACCGCCCUCACCCCUUGUGAUUUUAUUCAUGGCUAUUCACCGUUUUACUGAAAUACUGCAUUUGAUAUAUGAGAUACUGAAUUCCAUGCAUGGAAACUGAAUUGGUGUUGUUUGGACGAUUGUCCGACUGCUUUACUGAAUUACUGAGCUCAACCCCGUUCGGUGGUCAAUUGAAUCGAGCCGGCGAGGGCUUGGUCGUGAAGAUUGAAUUGCCACGGGGACUGUACUGGGGAACCUUGUGGUAAUGAGACCCUUGGUUCCAGUAUACUCGAGUAUUACCAAAAUUGACUGAAUGGAGUGCGGGCCCGGUUGGGGAAUGUUGGGUGGAAGGAAUGGAAGUAAAGAGUUGUCUACGGUUGGUUAUUCUUUAACAUUGACGGAGGGUCAAUGAGGUUGGAACAAGACUACAAGCGAGGAAACGGGCUCCUGAGAGCCCUCCGUAUCCUUUUACUGGUGUGAUUUACUCUUAAUUGUAUACUUGAACUGAAAGGUUACACUUAUGUGAUUUUAGAUGCUUACGUGAUAGUUGCUCACUGAGCUUUAGCUCAUUCCGUUCCAUUUGUUUUCCUUACAGGCAAAUGAACACUUUUGGAAAAGGUUGUGAUAAUUGAAUGACAAGUUGAGCUCAUGUACAUGUCUUUGUAUAGCCCUCUAAUGAAACCCUAAUGUGUCAUGGGUUCGUUUUCCUUUGAUUGGCGAAUCGAUCUUGUACAUUCAUGAUGAAUGGUAUUUGGCAUGCCAAUGUGGUUGUAAAUGUUGAAUUUCAAUGUAUGUAUGUUAAAUUGAUGUUUGGUUGAACUUCGGACUGAUUCACGUUUCAAACGGCCAAAGGAAAAUUUUGAACAAAAGGCACUGGACAGAAUCCGGCCAGAAACUGGCCGGAUUGCCGGCCGGAUUGCUUGGAGAAUUUGAAAAAAAUUGGCAACUCUCUGCCUGGUAUCCGGCCAGGAAUCCGGCCGGACAUCCGGCCAGAUUCCGGCCGGAUUCCGACGGGUCAUGCACUAUUCAUCUUCGGCUUCGAUUUUCGUUUUUUUUUAUUUUCGUGAUUUUGACUUGUUUACGCGCAAUGGGAUGUUCCGGAACGUAAUAGAUCGACGUAAACUGAACCGUUAGUCCUGGCGAGAGCUGGGCAGGCAGUCCGCUAACCCCUUUGGUUCGCCUUAGGGGAAAGUGGGGCUGUUACAAAGUGAAAGCUAUGAAAGUUCUCGACCACAAUUCCAUCCCAAAUCUGUUAAGGAAAAUAAAAGUAGUGGAGUGAGUUAAAACUCAAUGAGGUUCCGAAUAAACAUGUAAGCACAUAGCCAAUUAAAGGUGUAAUAUAAACAAGUAACCACCGUAUUAUAUUAUAACGAUUAAAUCACAGUUCAAUUCAAGGAUACGGGUGGCUUCCAAAAGCCAAAUCCACUUGAGUUUGAUCAUAACAAGAAUCUGCUGACUCUCCGCCAAUAUUAACAUUCAAGGAAUAUAAUGUCCAUAGAACACCACUUACUCCAAUUACCGUCCACUAGUCAACCCCCUUACCGGGCCCAAAUACCACAAACAGUAAUCAGGUAAUACUCGAGUAUACCAGAUCCAGAUUCAGUAAACAGUCCUCAAGGUUAAUCGGCCUUCUCGACCAAACCCUUGCUGGCUCGAUACAACCGACUCACUUAUGAGGUUGGGUACCCAAACAAUCACAGUAGUUGAUGGGAUGUCACCCAAACAACUCACAUACAGUCAAAUAUAGAGAAAUCACAUCUUAUAAUAGUAGUAUACAGAGCCUCAGUGGAAUUGAAGGAGGUCGAGUGUGAUAAAGAACACGCUCGCCUCAAAUUUGUCAAAACAAUUGUUUAGCUCAACCGGUCACAGAUCAAGUAUUCAGAUAUUUCACAUAGACAGUUAAUAGGCAAUAGAACACUCACCUGUCAAGCAAAUGCAGAGUUCAAAUGUCAAGUUCCAUAGUUACGUUCACCUCCAUUUCCCAAUCCUAGGGCAACGAGUAAAAUCAUUAACAGUCUAAAUUCAUUUAGGUGACCGAGUGGUUAAAUCUAUUCAAUUGAACAUGCAAGUUAGGCCCAAAUGCAGUAAAAAGUCAUAAGAAAAUAAGUUUGAUAAGUGCAAGAAAAUUGGCAAAAGAAAAAUCUCAUUCAAUUUCAAAGUAGUCUUUGUGGGUAAAAUAGUCGCACCUGGGCAGUUUCAGGAAAAUGGUCAUAUCUCACUGUAGGAAAGUCAAAAUCAUGUGUAGUUAAUGGCAUUGGAAAUUACACUUGAAGGGCUUUCCAAUGGUAUAAAAUUCAAACUCUAGUUCCUCUCCUAUCAAUACCAGUGAUUCGGAGAAGUCGGCUGAUUUUUCAGUUCUGAUCAGCUUGGAGCCCUAACAAAGUCACUCUAUUUCUUCUUGCCAACUUCAUUUGUUUUGGCUCAAAUUCACUCAAUUCAAUCUCCUAAUUUUCAUAUACAGAGGAUCAAAUUAUCUAACACCAUUGGAGCUCAAAAUACAACACACAUAAUGAUCAAGUGAACCAAAACAGUCUAGCCAACAAAAAGAACCAAAACAGUCCGCUACUUGCCCAAAAACCACCACUUUACUUGCUACAUUUCCAUCUCAACUCACACAUAAACUUAACCAAUGUUUAUCCAAGUUUCCUAUGUUUAAUUAAGGUGCAAAUGAGUCACAAAAUCAAGGAGAAACCUCCCACUUCAAAGCCGAUCAGCCAAGAGAAACAAAACAGUCCACUAGUUCACAUGCAACUCCAAUUUCCAUCCUUUCAUUAAGACUAACUCAAACAACAAUCCAAGAGUUAUCCCUAACUUGAAAAGGAUUCAAAACAUGUUAAUACAUCAAAAAAAUCAUAAAAAAAGGUUAAACAAGUAAUCAAACACAUGGCAUGCUAACCAACCAACCCUACUACCACUUGUUUAAUUCAAGAAAUUUGACCACAACUAUCAUCCAUACAACUCCUAGUUUGCCAUCAAAGCUUUAAACACUUGAUAUAACACCAUAAAACCAAGAGUUAAGGAUCAUAUACCUCUCUUAUAUUAAGAUUGAAUCACCAAAAUAAACCUCCAAAACUAAGGCUCCAAGCUUGAAUCACACACUAGGGUGGAAGGUUGUUCACUCUACUAACUCAAGUCCUUCACUUUUGAUUUUUGGCUUAAGAUCAAGCUAGGGUUAGAAAGCAAGAAAAAUGGAGUUUCUCUCUUCCCUUGGAAGCUUCAAGGUGGCUGGCCAUAGAGGAGAAAAAUGGAGCUAAGUUUGGUUUAAAUUUCCUCUAAUACUUUGGUCAAAAGGUUGAAUGGCUAAGGUGUUGUCACUUGUCUCAAUCUUGGCCAUUCUCCCUCUAAACUUUGCCAAAUUAUGUUUCUAUCAUCCAAAUGUUUCCAAUAUCUUACUAACACCCCUAAACUAUCAUAUAAAGUCUCAACCAUAAUAAAAAGGAUAUUUGGUCAUAGAGUAUGUGGUGAAAUAAAAUAAUAACAAGUCAAGGAAAUGUUUUAAUUCAAGUAAAAGGUAACGAAAUGCAAUGCAAGGGAAAUGUUAUAAUGCAUGUAGAAUGCAAUGCAAGGACAUGUUAUAAGUGAUUAGUCUUAGGAUAAUGCAAGUAGUUUAGAAGAAAUUAUAUUUUUAAGUGAGGGUUCCCACAGCCUCCCUAAUUGGUUGGUUGUUCAAACUUUCUAUAAUGGAUUCAACUACCCAACCAAGAUCAACACAAAUGUCACCAGUAGUGGAAUUUAAUGAAAAAAUCAACCGAUGAUGGUUGAGUUUUGAUAGAGGAAAUGGCUUCUGACAAUCAUCAAUGGGCAAAUGAAAGAAAUAAUUCAAGAACAUCGGCCGGUAUAUAUGAAAUUGAUAAUUUCAACUUUUUAAGUGCUAAAUAAAAAAACAUGUUUAAUUCUCAUAUGAAUAAUAUUGAGAGGUUGUUAAAUAAACAAGGUGGAGGUGAUUCGAAUUCUCAUGUAAGUGUAGUUUAUUAUUCAACAUGUGGUGGUAAUCAUGAUAGUGCUAAUUGUUUUCAUGUGGAGCAAGUUUAUAAUGUUAACAACCAUAAUCGGCCGCUUCAAAAUAAUCCUUUUUCAAACACUUACAACUCCAGUUGAAAAAAUCAUCCUAAUUUAGGGUGGAGAAUCACAUGCAUAAAAAUCUAUCAAUCCAUCAGAUUUUAAAACAAAGCAACUUGAAUCAUAUGUUUCAACUUUAAAGGCCAAUUUUGAAAAAUAUGUUCAUGAAACAAAAUAAAUAUUUGAUGAUAUUAAAAUAAGCAUGAAUAACAUGAUGACUGUAAUUAGAGAUAUGCAAGGCCGAUUAGGUACUAUUGAUAAUUGUAUCAAUUUGAGACAAUUGGGUGAAUUUCAAGUAAAACUGAGGUAAAUCUUAGAGAACAUGUGAAUGCAAUCACUCUUAGAAGUGGUAAACAAGUAGAGGAUAAUCACCUUGGUAAAAAUUUAAAAAAUGAUAAAAAUGAGGGUAAAAAUGAACAAGAAGGUGAAAAACAUCAUGUUCAAAAUGAAUUUGAUAUGUUUUCUUCUCAUAUUUCUCAUAAGAAUGCUACUAACUCCAUUCAUUUUUCCGAUAAGAUGAAGCAAAGCAAUAAGGAGAAGGAAUUUGAGAAAUUUGUUCAAAUGUUUAACCAAAUUAGAAUUAACAUUCCUUUAGUUGAUGUUAUUUACAAAUUCCCUCUUAUGCUCAUUUCUUGAAGGAUAUUAUGUCAAGAAAGAGGAAAAUUGAAAAUCAUGUGACAAUAGCAUUAACGGAGGAAUGUUCAGCAUGCAUUCAAAACAAACUUCCAACAAAACUUAAAGAUCUAGGGAGUUUCACUAUAUUUUGUACUAUUGGACAUUUGAAUUUCACUAAUACUAUUUAGGUGCAAGUGUAUCAUUGAUGCUACUCUCUAUUGCAAGAAAGAUUGAUUUGAGGGAGAUGAAGAAUAUAAAUGUUACUCUUCAAUUGGUGGAUAGAUCCAUAAAGCGUUCGAUUGGUAUAAUUGAAAAUGUCAUCAUUAAAAUGAAAGUAAAAUCAUUUUUUAUACCGAUUGACUUUAUUGUGUUUGAUAUGAAAGAAACAUGCAUUUACCUAUUAUUUUAGGUAGACGUUUCUUAACCACCGCCGGAACUUUAAUUGAUGUUCAAGAAGGUGUAAUUUAAUAUUUAGGGCAAAUGGUGAAGAGUUAACCUUCAAUUUUAAUGAAAGUAAUGAUCUUGAUUUACGGCAUGAAAAAGUUUUUAAAUCUAAAGAGCUUAAUGUUAUACAAGAGUGGCAUAAAGAAAGUUAUCAUAUUUAAACUCUUGAUUCUCAUACUUAUAACAUGCCUAAUAUGAAGAAUAAAGGAAAAAAAUCCUUAAUCCAAAAGUUUAAGUGGAUAAGGCAAGAAAUCAAGUAGACUUUGGGAUUGUUUAAAAUAUUUAUCAAGAAAUGCUCAUACAUAUUGUGAUCAUGCUAAUUCUUCUUUGUUUAAUGAUGAGGAUGAUUUGGAGAUAGGGCAAACUCAAAACAUGAUGAAUUGAAAGAGAAGUUUUAGUUCUUGGGAAGAAACGAGUUCCCCUUCCCUUUCAAAGUGAAGUUCAAGAAGAAACACUUUUGAGUCGAGCCAACAACUAUAAACAAAAGCGCUAAUUGGGAGCCAACCCAAUGUUUUAAGACAUUUCUUUUCUUUUAGUGUGUUUUAAUGUUAAUUAGAAGUAUUAAGUUGUGUUUGUUAUGUCUCUUUUAUAGGUUUCAAAAGUUAAGGCAAUAGUUACUUUUUGAAGGUUAGCAAGAAAUAAGAAAAAUGAAGAACUCAAUCCCUUAUUUUGCAUUUUAGAUGUUUUUAUUCAUUAUGAAGGGUUAGAUUGGAUGUUUAGAUCAUUUGAAACUUGUUUGAGGCGUUACAUUUCACAAAAAAAUGAUCGGAAUCAUAUUUCUGCAGAGGUUGGAAAUGAAUGAAACAAUGAAAAAGUUGAGUUUUCUGUACUUUAAUUGCAAAAACUCAGAGAUUCGUGAGCCUUGCGGAUCCUUGGUACCGUGCGGAUCCUGAGGAGUUCUUUCUAAAAGAAUAAUUUUUCCUCCUUUCUCCUUUCCUUUCCCUUCUUAGCCACACUUCAAGUUUGUAACUUUUGCAUCAUUUGAACCUUCAGUUAGUUUGUUUACCAUUUUCCAUGAUAGAACUCUAUUACUAAUCACUAAUGGUUAUUAUAAGGAACUUUUGUACUCCUUGACUUUCAUUUAUGUAGGGAAUGGUUGCAAUUCAAGAAAGAUGAAGUCAUGGAAGGUUGCAAGCAAGAGGUCAAGUCACUAUAGAAGAAGUAUUUCUUUUCUUCUUACUUUUCCUUUUCACACAUUGAGGAUAAUGUGCACUUUAAGUGUGGGAGGGAGGUGUAUUACCUACUUAAUUGUGAAAAAUGGUUCAAUCCCUUCUUAAGUGUGAAAAUGGUUCAAUUUUUUUCAAAUUUUGUCAAUUUUCAAAAAAGUUUUGUAACCAUUAGUAGUCAAUUCUCCAUUUGAACUGAAAUUGAUGUGUCUUGAGAAUCUUAUUUCUUAUUUGACUUGAAAAUAACUAUUAUAUGACCAAGAUUUUUGAUAUGAAGAAAGUAUAUCUUGUACUAGGCUCGUCUCCACCCAACAGAGUGGUUUUGUCAAAGGGCGACAGAUCGCAGACAAUUUUUUGCUAGCUCAAGAGUUGGUAUCGGAUAUCGGGAAGCCAUCCCGUAGGGGAAAUGUGGUAAUUAAGCUGGACAUUAUUGUCGCAAAUAAGAAAAAUUAAAGACGAGUUUAGGAAAAUGGCUUUUGAUUCGAUUUUUGAUUGGAAAAUGAAUUUUUGAAAAAAAGAAAAGAAAAUAAAAUAAAAUAAAACAUGGGUCUUAAUGGGACUUGAAAAUGCGACGAUUUGACCCAAAAUAUAGUUUAAAAAGGGUUUUUUGAAUGGAAAAUGGAGUCGCCACUUGGUAUUGAGUUGAGGUGUACCAAAUCACCUAAAAAUAAAUUUUAACGAAAAAAGUAGAAAACCCCUUUUUAAACGACUCCAAGUCUACGAAAAUCAGAGAAAAAGAUUCGGGAGUCAUAUUUGAAGAAAGGGAAGACAAGGAUAAGAAUCCAAGGCACCCUUUUAACCUAGCCAAGGCUAGUUGCGCGAUUUAGUCAAAAGAUUUUCUUAUUUUAACCUAAAGAUUUAUCACAUUUGGAGGUUCUAUAUGAAUGCAAACCCUAGACAUAGAAGGGUAUCGGGGGAUCGAAAUGUAUCUUCAAAACUUACUUGGUACCAAUCACAUUAAUUGUGACGCCCAAUAAAGAUUCUUCGAAGAAGUCACGAAUAAUGCAAGUCGUGGAACUCGAAAAAAAGGAAAAGUAAAGAAAAUAAUAAUAUGCAAAUGUGUAUGACCUAAAGGAAUGCAUCAUAAUGGGUGCGGGGGACUUAUACUUGUGACUUUCAAUGUUCCCUUUAAUAGAGGGAAUACGAGCGUGCUAAGGCUAGAGAAGCCAAACUCGCCCAUAUCCCAUAUCCAAGGGGCAACUUCCCUAAUCUAAUCAUGCAAAUGUACUAGCCUAGUUCUAGUCCUUACAUGGGAUGCAAGUCUAAUGUCAUGCUUCAUACAAAGGGGUAAAUAAUAUACAUAUAAGGAAAAAUAUUGGGGAAGGGGUAUAAAUAUAAGGAGGGAUAUCAUGCAAAAAAAUGAUAAAGACCCUAAAAAGUGAAAAUAUGUAUGAGAUGAAGUGAUUUUAUCACACAAUCAUGAUCUAACGUGCGGAUAGUUCCUAAGGGUCUAGCGUUGGACUGGCCCUUAACGAACAUUCUCUCACAAGUAUUGAACUUGUAAGAGCUCGAAGAGAAGACCAUGACUAGCAUUGGACGAGCCACGGUAACGUACAUUCCAUCCACAUAACCAGAUAUAAUACUAAAGCAAAUAGGCAGCAAAACACAUAGUUUCACAUAGCACGUAACACAUAAGCAUGCUUGUUUAGAUGCAGAAUCCUAGGGAAAGCGAUUAAACACAUAGGCAUAUAGGCACACACAAGCACAUAGCACACAAGCCCUAUCUAUUACAAAAAGGGAUGCCUACUACAAUCUAAAGUGGGGAAGACUUAGAAAAGUAAAUCCUAACUAUUACAUUGGCCAGCUAAAACAUGUCUUCAAGAGAGGCGCCAAAACCUAGCUAUUACAAAUUGGGGUUCAAAUGCCCUCAAAUGACUUGCCAAUUAAAAAGGUGAAAUAAAAAGAAACCGAAACAGGCAAUUAAACAUUAAUAAAAUGAAAAGUGAAUUAAAGCAUGCAUAUUCACACAAAACACGUAGGAGCACGUAGGAGCACGUUGGAGAAAUAAAAUCAAGGAGAUAGAUGUUACCUUCCUUGCAAUGGGAAUGAGAUGAAGGAAAUAUUAGCUUUCAAAACAAAAAAAAGGAUCAAGGCACCAAUUAAAUAGUAAAGUAUAAACAAAAUCACCAAAUCCCUCCCAAUUGCAAUUUAAAUGAAAUCACAUAAUGCAUAAUUUCCAAGAAAGUAAAUUAUUGAUCGAAUUUCUAAAAUAGAAAAAACUACCAAGGAUCCAAUGGCAAACAUUAACCCAUCAUUCAAGUCCAGUUAAAAUAUUUUGGGAACUUCAAAGGUCCAUAAGUAAUGAAAAAGUCAAGUAAUGAUUCAAAUUGCAAUUACUCUAGGACUUAAUUGCAAGAAAUUGGAGCAUAAUUAGGCCUUUGUAGCAUAGAUAGAAGCUAAGGGGAGUAAAGUGCAAUUUUUUAAAGCUAUUUUGCAUGCAAAAACAUGCAAAAGCAACAAAAACAAGUUUUCUGCAACAGAAGAUAUUCGGCAGCUUAGGAAGCUUUCUUCUGCAAUUCUAAGCUUUCAAACGCAGACUUCAUACAAGACUUCAAGCAAGAGCCAGAGAAAACCAUCACUCAACAUCCCUUAACAGCUAAACACCUUGAUUAACACAACCCAAUCAUGAACACCAAACCAUUAAAGAUCGAGUGAAGAAACAAAUGGAAGACAUAUGCAGCGACGGAAGAGCAAAAACCAGCUUUCUGUAUUUCUUAAAUGUACCUUCAUCAUUCAACCAAGAGGCCUAUGUGAAGUAACUCAAACGAAGCCUAUUGAAUCAAACCCCCAGAUGCUAUAACUUCAUUCCAUUGCCACUAACAUCACCCCAAAACAAUCAUCUAUCCCUAAACGAACUAAUCACAGCAGCUAGACAGAAAAUGCAGCAAAGUGACUCGAACUUGGAGCAGCUAAUGUUUUUACUCAUCUACAAACAAUGGUUGUGCUAUGGCCUGCUAUUAUACCGUACUUUGCUGCAACAAAUUGCAGCAAACGCACACAAUGGCAUCACCUUCCAACAACCAACAGACCCAAGAAGGAUUCUAGCUAAACAAAACUUCAGUCACCAACAAGAAACAACUCUACCAAUAUCGCUGCAACAACAACAGAACUUAUGACCUGUUGCAGCAGAUUUUCAUGCACUCAAAAUGUCGAUCAACAUUUCAAACCUAUACCCAACCUCAAAUUCCUACCCAAAUUAUAAUUCCAAAUACUCCAUCAUGCAUACGAAAUCACACACCGAAUUCAAAGCUAACGAAAGCUAUCAUGCGAAUGGGUUGUUAUGUAACAGCUUUAGAAGCAUAGCUGUUAACUUCAUGAGCAGCAAAACCGUAGUACAGCAAUAAAAGAAACGCUCCAGCUAACAGGGAGUUCACGGUUUCAUGCAACAAAGGAGGAGACUUUGAGGCACAGGGGACAGAAUUAAAUCAUCACAAGCAAGGAGAACAAAGACAAGACUGUGGGCAUACAAUUAACAAAAAAACGUCUGCAACAUUUGAGUUUCUUUUUGCUGCAAUUCUUUGCUAUCCAAACACUACUAACAGCUCAACUAACAACAACUUGGAGCAAAGUAACAAGUUCACAAGCAUGUUUUCCACUUUUCACCAUACAACUUUAGGUUUAAACACAUAAAAAUCCGAAGGAAGACCAUGUAACUUUAGCAAAUUUCUAGAACUUAUCUGAUACUUAAACACUUUAACAAUCUUACCUAUAGCUAGCGCAAACCAUUUAAGACACAGCAAACCAUUAUGACUUAGCUUUCUAACGAAGAAACAAAACACAAAACAUUAACCUUGAUCAAUGAAAGGAAAUCAGCACAAACGCAAGCUUAACCCUCCUAAGAUUAGGUUUUUACAAAACUAGCAGACAAGCAAAUCACCAGGUUUCAGUUUGGGAUUGAGACUGACUCUUUCGGCUCAAGAUUGUCACUUUAGGGCCGUUUGUCAAGCAACCCACAAGCAUGAGAGAAUUUCGAUAAUGCAGAAAUGAAAGGAAAAAACAGGGAAAGGCUACCUUCACUCCUUUUGGUAGCAAAACAGCGCUUGAAUGGCGGAGCGAUGGGCUUUAGCACGGGACAAGCGAAGCUGGGAACCAUUUCACCUGCUGCUGUGGCUGCCUUCCAGAUUCUGCACUACCUCCCUCCUUGCUUCUUUCUGGGUCGGAAGCUUUUCCUCCUCUUACUCUCGGUCUCUUUCUCUCGGUUUCUUCUUUAGUUUUUCUUCCUUCCGCCAUCCUAAGCUUCCCUCAUUCUCCCCAGAUUCUCUCAGCCGCCCCUUUUUCUCCCCCUAGUCUGCGGCUUUCUCUUAUCCCUUUUAUAUGGGAAGCUAAACCCUCAAACCCUCACACCUAAGGCUAGGAUGAUAGUUGGUUUUUUAACCAAAAUUUUGGAGCCCUUAGAUUUUAUGAAUGAGAUCUUUGAGUGAUGAGCUAAACUUAAGAAAAACAACGGAAAUGAGUAAAAUAGAAGAAAUGGCCAGCUGCAAUUUUUUUCUUUUUUUUUUCUUUCUUUCUCUUUUUUUAAUAAUAAUAAUAUAAUAAAAAUAAAAAUAUCAUUUUAAAUAAAAUCAAACAAAAUGAGGGAGACCAGGAAUAAUAGACAAAAUAAAAAUGCCUUAAAAAAAAUUUUUUGUGUUUGAUUGAUGAUCUUCCCUUUUCUUUUUUUUUUCUUUUCUUUUAAUUAAAUAACAAUGAUUUGAAUCUAAAAUAACUAAAGCAUAUUUUUUGUGAAUGAUUUUCUUUUCCGAUAAAUUCUAUGCUAAAAUGACUUAAAAAUAAAGAUAAAAGACUAAAAGUAAAUAAAAACUCACAUAAAAAAAAUAAAAAUAAUAGUAAACAAAAAUACCCCUAAAAUUUGGUGUCUACAGUUUGCCCCUCUUUGUCUGAGUUUUGGAAAAACUUGAGACAAAAAAUUAGACACCAAAUACUCACCUGCGUUAUUCGGCUGCGAACGUCUCGAACGAUGGACGCUUUAGAAAUGGGGACUGACCCAUUUUGUUUUUUACAAAAUUUUAAAAUGGGACUGUCCCAAACAAGAAAUUUAAAAUCGGGAAUGACCCAAAACAGGAAAAUUAAACGGGAUGCACACUAGUGGGACUGACCCAUGUUUAGUAGCAAUAAAGAUGAAAUGCACGCUAGUGGGACUGACCCAUGUUUAGCGGCAGUGCAAAUGAAAUGCGUUGACCAUCGAUCAGUGGGAUUAAACCCGAGUCUGUCGAGAAAAUCGGAAAUAGAAAGGCAUGUUAGUGGGAUGAACUCAAUGCUAAUGGAGAUAGACUAAAAACAACACACACGUUAGUGAGAUAGACUCGAUGCUAACGGUGGUUGAAUAAAAACGCACACGUUAGUGAGAUAGAAUCGAUGCUAACGGUGGUGGAAUGAAAACGCACACGUUAGUGAGAUAGACUCGAUGCUGACUCGAUGCUAACAGUGGUUGAAUAAAAACGUACACGUUAGUGAGACAAACUCGAUGCUAACGGUCGUGGAAUGAAAACGCACACGUUAGUGAGAUAAACUCGAUGCUCAUGGUGGUGGAAUAAAAACGCACACGUUAGUGAGAUAGACUCGAUGCUAACGGGGGUUGAAUAAAAAGGUACCCGUUAGUGAGAUAGACUCGAUGCUAACGGUGGUUGAAGUCAGUAAAUUAAAUAUGGUUGUCAAGAAAGGAGGUAGAAGGGUACGCGGCGGACGUUGAGACUUGCCAACAAGAAAUUAAAAAUUGAAAUUGAAAAUGAUUUCUUCAAGAAAUAAGAAGUUAAACCUAAUUUUUGAUUUUUUUUUCUUUUCGUUUGGGAGAAACUUUUCAAGAAAUAAUUUUGCCUCAGUCUCCACCACUUAUUGUGCAACCGAUCAUUUGAUUUGCAUUAUACCAGAGUUGAUCCUCCUUAAAACUUUGAUUCACCUCUUCUUUGGUCUGAACCCUUCAAUUCUUGGGUGAUACUCCACAGUCAUAUAAAAAUUGUGUGAUACCCUGAAAAUUAGGAGGUUAUUUGUAAGGAAAAUACUAAAGUGUAUUUCUUUGGGUUUGAUUUAAAACCUUAUUUUGUUUUAAAAGACUAGAAACCCUAAGAUUUUAAUCAAAAACCCUAAUUUACUUGUGACUAAUUGGUUUUCUUAAAUCUCUCAUAUUUUAAUUGAAACCCUAAUUUUAAUCACUGGAAUUGUAAAAUCCCUCACGUUUCUCUUAAAAUUUCCUUUUAUUUGGAACUUAUGAUUUUAUAAUAGCCCUUCCACCCAAUCACCCCACAAUAAGUUCAAAUGAACAUGAAAAUAAAGGUUUUUCCCUUUUCGUUUUAAGUUAGCGCGAAUUAGGGUUUUCACGUUUUUCGUAGUAUGACUAUUCGGUACCGAGUGAGGAUCGAAUUUGGUAGGUAAGAGUGACUUUUGGAUGAGGAAAUAUUAUAUGAUUAGAAGUGAUAAUAAUAAGAUAAUGAUUAGAAGGAAAAAGAAACCCCAGUAUACGCAAUUUAAGAAAAUCGGCCCGAACCGACGGGUAUCGAUCACUACCGAUUGAACCCACCACUUCCUCACCACCACACACCCUUGAUAUUUUUGCAAAAUAUCCCCCCCCUCAUACUCAUCCUCUUGGCCGAAAUUGUGGCUAAAAAUGUAAGGGAGAGAGAGAAAAAUUCAUGGUUUUGGUGGUGACAAGUGUCACCACCCUAUGGUCCCUUAGUUGAUAUUUUUUUUCCUUGCCUUCUUAUCACCUUGGAGCUGUCUUUCUUCUUCAUUUUUCUGCUAUUUUGGCUGAGAGAGAGAGAGAGAGAGAGAGGAAAGCCCAAGGGAGAGCUGCCUAAUCCAUCUUGAAUUUGGAUCAUCCAAGUGAGGAAACAAAAAACUAAACCGAUUAAAACCUUCCUUGAGUGUUUAGCUAGUGGUGUGUCGGUGAAAUUUUAGAAGGAAAAGCUAGGGCUGCUCUUGGUAGUCAUUUUAGCAAGGUAAUAAUGCUGUUUUCCCCAUUUUUUACUCUUAAUCUUGUUUAACUUGGCAUAGCACCAUAGAUUUAUGGUGGAUGAUAGCUAUUAUCAUGUUUUGGGUAGAUAUAGUGUAUGUUUUCUUGAGUUACAUGAGUUAGAGUUUGAGAUUUUUGCUGCCUAUACUUGUUGUAUGGAGGUAUAUGUUGUAUCUAAGAUUAUAUAAGUGAUGGUGGUAGUGAUUGAAGCAAGAAAUGAAGAAAGUUUCCUUUGAAUCCCAAAAUUCCAGAUUUCUGGAAAAUUUCAGUACUGUUCUGUCCGGUUUCUUUGCCCUAGGUUAGAGGCCGAAUUAAGCUUGGCAUAAAACAUGCAAGUUGUAGAGAAUGAUAUUUUAUAGGUGCCUACAAAAUUUCAGCUCAAUCGGAGCAACGUAGCCUGUGGAAAGACCAAAUUACCCUCACUGUUUUAGGAUGUUUCCAGUGUUCCAUUUUAGUCAGUUCAUCCAGUUUAUCAUGUUUAUUCACUAGGAUCCGUACUGAUUUAGCCAUUUUCCAAAACAUGAAAGUUUUUGUACUCUGUCUUAGCUUUUCAAAUCAUCCAAGAACACCUUAAACGGACCUUGGUAGCCUGAGAUAUGACCAUUCUAGUGCAGUGCGGAUAAUUAGCCGUAUAGUUGGAAGUUGGCUCUGUUAUUUGGGAAUUUGACUAGGUUACAUUGGAAAUUUGACUAAGUGACCUUCAUGAAAGUUGUAGGACUUUGUCUUAGCUUCGAAACGGUAUACGUUGUACUUCAAUCCAAUAAGCGUAGUAUCGGUUGUGUCAUUUCCGCAAAAACCCAUCAGAUCUGUCUUUUACUAAAGCUUAUUUCUGCACUUGUUAUUAACUUGAAUUUUGUCCUUGUAUUGUCUUGAACCUAUUGGACGGCUAUUGAAGUUAGAUUUUUGUGUGUGUACCUUUGGGUUUGAAUGAGAAAAAUAAUGAAGUCAUAAAUGGCUGGAAAUAGGAAAAUACAAAGGGCGUGCUGCCCAUAUUUUUGCUCGAGAACUAGAAAACUAUACUUACACUUUGUAUUAGUAGUUAUUUGAAUUUUCUUUGGUCCACUUAAACUUUGGAGGGGUUAACUGUCAUAUUUUCUCUUGGCUAUUAUUAGGGUUUCUUGGCGAUUGAGAGUGUUAUCCGGGAGGAUACUUUGGACAUAAUUUUGCUUAAAUAGGUGAGUGUUGUAUAUACGCUUUGUUUCUAUGACUAUGAGGAUUGUUGUGACUAUGUGAUUAUUUCUGAAUAUUUGAUUAAAUGUUAAUUGUUUUCUAUGAUUUCUAAAAUGAACUUUUGCUAGGUGAGUGUGUACUUUAUCGUACUCGACCUAAAUAAAUAUGAAAUUUUCGGUGAUUAAAUGUUGAAAUACUAGUUGUGCAUGGAUGUAAGCCUUUUUGGUUGAACUGGGCCCUUGCCCUUGUUACCGAUCGACUCGAGUCAGAAGCGGACUCGGUCGGGCGAUAUGGUGUCCUGGGUGAACAUUUGGUAUACUCGAAUAUUACCUUGUAGUCCGGCUAACGUCCGGGUGGGUGGAGUCCGGUCAACGUCCGGAUGGGGGGGAAAGCCUGGCCAACGUCCAGGAGGAGGUGAAUGAGAAUGAACAAACGAACAUAAAAAAUGAGGGGUUUUACUUACAAAGAUGCAUUUUUUUUAUAAUUGGAGGAAUAAGGGAAUGAAUAGGGAACAAACGAACGAAUUGCUCCUUGUGAGCCUGUAUCCUUUUAAUGAAUGUAUUAUCAUUGCUUUAUACUGAACAUGUUUUCUGGAUUAUUUGUUAUUACAUGAUUAAUGUCCUUGUUCAAUUACUUGCUUUUGCAUAUAGAAUCUCACUGAGCUUUUAACUCAUCCCUUUAGUUUUGUUUUCCUAAACAGGGGAAAGCACGCAAGGAUGAGAGCUUGGUAUAGACUAGCUUGGUCUAGCUUCUUGUUUUUGUAAUGGUUCUCGCCCUAGUGUUUGGCACGGGCUGGUUGUAUGGUGAAGUGAGAACCUUUGUAUAUUCGAUGUUUGUACUUCCUUUUGAGAUAGUAAUGCACAUAAGUUUUGCGUUAAGUUUUAGAUCGUCAUUAUAUUUAUUCCUGUGAUUUAUUUCGAUUUUACUUAAGGACUGUAGCAAGUGAGUGAGUCCCGGUGAGAGUUGGGCAGGCAACCCGCCAAACCCUGGGGUACGCCCUAGGGGGAGGUGGGGCCGUCACAGGUGGUAUCAGAGCUUAGGCUUCAGAUUCCUGUAGUGUAUCCUAGGCUUGAAGUUUAGAAUGCCGGACUGUGGGAUUCGAUUCGAUUUGAUUUGAAAGUUAAGUGAUUGAGGGAUAAAACCUAUAGCUGCUUCGUGUGGUCUCGGCGCGGAGUGAGCCUGGACUGAGUGGUGAAUAGGCAUGAAGGAUUAAGUGCUCGUUCGAGCAUAAGCUCUGAAUUAUGAAAUGUUAUAGGCCUUAAAUCUUUCUCAUGGUGUCCAAGGACCAUAGAUAGGUAUGUCGGGUAGGAAUUUCGAUUGUAGAUAGUUUACUCUUGGGACUGGCCAGCUCGAGAUGUGAAUUGUCUUAUUUCGGAUUCUCGUGCCCGAGUACUCUAAAGUUGAAAUGGUACUAAGUACUUGAGACUUGCAUUCUGAGAACAUGAACAGGCUUUGUCUGGCUAGAAUAAGUACUAGAGGUCAACGGACGUAUAGUUGGGAUAGAAAGUGACGUGAGAGACCAGCUAGGGUCAUCUUAGCUGAGUGUGGGAUGACAAGUCGUGUUUUCUUUCGUUUUGCCCUUGCAUUAUUCUUACAUGUUAUUUACUUGUGGUAUGUUAAUACCUACAUAUAUAGUAUCUGCUGCACUUGACUUUGUCCAACUUGAAAUAUCUCUUGAUGUAUAUGGUGCAUCAUAUUGUGUAUAUGUUUCCUUGUGUAUUUGGUGUGUUAUAUCUUGUUGUUUUAUUCAAUUUACUAUGUUACAUACUAAAUCACCUUUUAAAAAAAAAUGUCGAGGACGACAUUCUUUGAAGGAGGGGAGAUUGUGAUACCCUGAAAAUUAGGAGGUUAUUUGUAAAGAAAAUACUAAAGUGUAUUUCUUUGGGUUUGAUUUAAAACCUUAUUUUGUAUUAAAAGACUAGAAACCCUAAGAUUUUAAUCAAAAACCCUAAUUUACUUGUGACUAAUUGGUUUUCUUAAAUCUCUCAUAUUUUAAUUGAAACCCUAAUUUUAAUCACUAGAAUUGUAAAAUCCCUCAUGUUUCUCUUAAAACUUCCUUUUAUUUGGAACUUAUGAUUUUAUAAUAGCCCUACCACCCAAUCACCCCACAAUAAGUUCAAAUGAACAUGAAAAUAAAGGUUUUUCCCUUUUCGUUUUAAGUUAGCGCGAAUUAGGGUUUUCACGUUUUUCGUAGUAUGACUAUGCGGUACCGAGUGAGGAUCGAAUUUGGUAGGUAAGAGUGACUUUUGGAUGAGGAAAUAUUAUAUGAUUAGAAGUGAUAAUAAUAAGAUAGUGAUUAGAAGGAAAAAGAAACCCCAGUAUACGCAAUUUAAGAAAAUCGGCCCGAACCGACGGGUAUCGAUCACUACCGAUUGAACCCACCACUUCCUCACCACUGUAACGGCCCCACCUCCCCCUAAGGCGAACCAGAGGGCUCGGCGGACCGCCUGCCCAGCUCUCGCCGGGACUCAGUUGAUCACUACACUCACCGCUCUAAAGUACGCGUGACAGAAACCAAAGGAAACGAACAAUACGGAAACCUCCAAGCUAUAAGGUUGAAAGUCCCUGCCAAAAUUUGUUUCUCUACCUUUUCACGCUUGAGUAUACUCGUCCGAAACCUCCGUAGUUUCAAUAACUCCAGGCAACCAUAACGAAUGAACACGUUGGAGAGGGGUAACACGUUUACAUAAGCAAACACUUUUAGAUAUAUACAUGAUCACAAUGUUACAAAUCAAAAGGGAGUUGUUUGAUCAAAAUACAUUCAAGGUUUCCAUCUAUUGAGGAGCUAUACAAAAGAAUAUAUAUAACCAGCUCAACUCAUGCUUCCAAAAGAUUUUCCUGUAAGGAAAACAAGGAUAACAAAACGGGGUGAGCUAUAAGCCCAAUGAGGUACCAAAAUAAAGAGAUACAGUCAAGGACCAAGUAAUUCCAUGCUCAAUUAAUCACAUACAUGUACCCAACAGGAAAAUAAGUAAACAAUCCAGACAGAAAGGAUACAGAUGGCUCUCAGGAGCCAAUUUCCCGUUGCAGUACUUGAUCCGACUAUGUUGACCCUCCGUCAACUUUCAAAUAAGAAAAACCCGUCCAGUAGAACACCGCUUUAACACCAAGUCCCGUCCACCAUUCAUACCCCUUACCGGGCCCGAACGCCGAAUAGAAACAGGAAUGGUAAUACUCGAGUAUACCGGGAUUCAAGAGUCUCAAUACUCAAGAAUUCCAUAAAGCAGGCACCCACGGAUUGUCAAUUUCCUCGACCAAGCCCUUGCAUGGCUCGAUUUAAUUAACUCCCCAUGAGGUUGAGCUCAGGUUUAAUAAGGAAGCCGUUGGACGCAUCCAAACGACAUUAUAACAAGUGCAGGUAACAGGUUCAAGUUCAUAACAUGUACAAGUGAUAGAUUGCAGUUUAUACCACACAGGCAAGAGUACGAGUGUGAUAAAGUACACCCUCGUCUCAAUCACACUAAACAGGAUUCACAGUCAUUUAUGUCAUAGAUUUCACGUACAGAUAGCUCAAGUAGCAACAAUACAAGGGGUGGUACACUCACCAGAUCAAACAAGAAUAGUUUCAAAAGUUUCCUUGCCAAGUGUGAUUUUACUCGCUGGCACCUCCUAGAACAAGCAAGGCAAACACUUACGACUUGACAUUACAAUUGGAAUCAAAGAAAUUUGCAAGUAACUCUGUUACAAGUCCUGUGCGUAACCACAUGAACCAUUAAUGCAAAGGCAAUGCGACUUCGGAGUGAAAAGGAGUAACAAUCGGUCUUAAAGGCAUGAACAAUCUCAAUACUCUAUCUAUCAUAAGUAACCAACUCCAAAGUUGAAGUAGAAAAUGAAUGUACAAUCAUUACUCGGAAAACAGGAAUUUUCAGUUUUGCAUAUGCCUCUAAGAAAAAUUGUAUCUCAAGUUUUGUAAGUCCAAAAUUGAUAAAAUUUACACCGUUGGAAACUACAUUCAAAGGGUUAUAAUUUUCCAGAAAACACCAUCUUAAGAUUCAGAACGCAAGUCGGUUAAAUUUAAGUCGCAAGGUACUGCUUUAACCAUCACAAGACAGAACAGGUUACAAUUCCAGUUAACUUUGAAAAAUCACUAUAAAUUGUACGGACAGAAACAGGAUCUGAAAUUCACACGGUCUAUAGCCCUAUGUGUCUAGUUUAAAACGCAACAAACGGAACUCAAUUCCGAUAUUCCUACAUCAAGAUAUAGUAAUUUUCCUAAGACUGCGCAGGAGCUCUUACGAAAAUUUUGACAGCACUUCCCUUAGUUUUUCCUUACUUUUCCAACCAAACCUCAAUACCAAUUCACUCCUCAAUUCACCACAAUCUUUCCCACAAACAACAAGCUAUAAAACACCUUGAAUUAAGACCACAAUAUCCUUCAAAUGCAACCACAUAAAAGAGUAAAAUAUAAACCCUAAAACUGGAAAUUUUGCUACAAAAGCUGAAAUUCUUUGAAGACAAGCAAAACCAACAUUCUCAAGCUCAAAAUUACUCUUAUCAACUACCAAAUCAUAGCCCAAACAUUAAUCAUCAUAUGAGGACAGAAAUUUUGCUAUAAAACUGAAAUUCACUAUACCUCUACUUAAACCCAUAAACUAAGCUACAAAACUUCACAUGUAACCUCUCCAAUCCACUACUUUGCAAGUACAAGAAGUAAAAGAAAGGUUCUAGGUGGCUUACCUUGAAACUUAAGGAGAAAUGAUAGUUUAGAGCUCCAACUCCAAAACUCACUCCACCAAUCCCUUAAACCCCUCCUAGCUAGCACUUGUAUGGAAGGAAUUAGAAAGCAAAUGGUGAAAUCUCAAGAUCAAAGAGAAAAUUGAAACUAGAAGUGGAAGAGCUUUCUUUCUUUUCCUCUCAAGCUAGCCGGCUGAACAAGGGAAGAAAAUGAAGAUAUUUUGUAGCAAAAAGGUGAUAAGUAUGGAAGAAAACAGCUGCUGACCGGCUGUGCUACGUCAGAAUCCGGCCGGAUUCCUGGCCGGAUUCUGGCCAGAGAGUAACUAGUUUUUUUUUCAAAAACGUCAAGCAAUCCGGCCAUCAAUCCGGCCAAGAACUGGCCGGAUUUCCGGCCGGAUUCGGUCCUUUAGUUCUUUCGAAAUUUUUUUUUUCUAAGGUCAAUCCAAUGAAUAUAUAUUUCAAAACUCACACAACAAUACUUAGUACACACCAAUACAUGUGCACAUAUAUGAAAUGAAACCCUCCUUAGUGAUAGGUAACAAAUUCUUUUCAUUUACAAAAAUAAGAGAAAUAAGCAUCCAAAUAAAUACGGAGAAAAGGUGAAAAUUUAGGGUUCUCACACUCUCUCCCCCUUAAAAGAAUUUCGUCCUCGAAAUUCCUUAUCAUUGCCUUCUCCAAUAUACCAUACUUAACUAACCAAUCCGUAUCCAUUCACUGGCCAAUAUACCAUAGUUUCUUCUUCCUUCCUAAGUUGUAAUUCUUAUACUCCAUGCUAGUAGGCAAUCGGUGGAAUACUAGAAUCUUACCUUCCACGUCUUCAUACGGGUCCGAGACUUGAUGCUGCUCUAGGGUAUACACCUGAGCCGACACCUUUGGUCCAUUCUUUUUCCCCUUUGACUGGUCAAGGUUGGUCGUGGGUGGCUGUUGACUCCUAUUUCCUUCUCGAGAGUGGCCUGGGCAAUUUGUAAUUUGAUGAUCUGCGCUCCCACAACGCAGACAUUUUCUUCCUUUCUUCCAGCAAACAUCCUCCGUGUGAUGCGGUUUCCCACAGUACCCACAAGGACCGCGGGAAGCAGAAACUGAGCCUUUCUGUGAGGCGCCACUCGACACCUCUGGCAGUUGUACUCCCCCGUUGCCCCUUCCAAUCUUAAGAGGCGUGCUUUUAUCUCCAUGCUCCGAACUGCUUCCUGGAAACCCCCUUUUCUUGGCUUGAAAAUUCUUAACUUGUAACCUCGCGCCUUCAACUCGUUGAGUUUUCUCCACUGCAUCACUAAAAGUAUUGAGUUGGGCCACGGCCAAGUCCUUCUGAAUCUCAACGUUUAGCCCUUGGACGAAACGCCUUAUCCGCCUCUGCUCAGUCACGAUUAAUUCGGGAGCGAACUUAGACAACCUGGUAAACUGGCUUUCAUACUCGGCAACGGUUUGAGUUCCCUGGCGGAGCCUAAUGAACUCAUCUUCUUUCUUCUCCUGGAUCAAAGGUGGAAAAUACUUCGUAUUGAAUUCUCUCAUGAAGUUCACCCACGUCCUUGGGGUUUGCUCUCUUUCCCAUUUUAGCCUUACGAUAUUCCACCAAGAACGUGCUGCUCCUUCCAGUUAGAAGACAGCAAAUGUGACCUGCCGCUCCUCGGUAUAGUGUAGCGCGGCAAAUAUAUCGAUCAUCUUCUCUAGCCACCUCUCGGCCACGUCGGGGUCUGGUCCUCCAAGAAAUUGCGGUGGGGAGAACUUCUGAAAUCGUUCGAGGGCUUUAUCCUCACCCUCUAUAUGAUUACCAGGGUUGCCCGGCUGAUUAACAGGAUUUUGACCCUGAUGUCCCACUACAUGGGCCAAUAAAUCUGUCAUACGUUGAAUGGCGGCAGCUACCUGAACAUUAGGAUCUGCUCGAGGUUCAGGGUUAGGUUCAGGCGUUGGUUCUCGAUUUGCCCCUCCAAUCGGGGUUUGCCUACGGCCGCGCCCUCGGCCUCGUCCUCUACGUGUACUCUCCAUUGGUUUAACCACUCUAGGGUCGAAACGCAAAUAAAAUAGUAAAGCAAAUGCAAGUAGGUACGAGUACAAAAGUAGAUACAACUCAAAAGGGCAUAUAUAUAGAACACAACUUGAUCCAGCAAGUCACACAGUAUCAGUCAGAUGUAAGCAAAAGCAAGUCCAGGAAAGUAACGAGGUCAAAAUCCAAAAUGCACUAGACAAACUAGGCCCAAAAGUAUAAAACAUCAAGCUAAAAGCUUUUCCAUGCGUUCGAUCCAUAACCUACAGGGAUAUAUAAUUUAUAUCUUAAUCCGGGCUAAUCACACUUCAUGAAUUCUUAAUAUCACACAAAGUUCCGCAAUCAAAUUCCCAAUUGGCCUAAGCGAUCACUAACCUAGGCUCUCAUCUAUUUAGUAGUCAGGUACAAGAAUCCCAAAAUAAGAUAAGUUCACAACUCGGGCUGGCCAGGCCCAAGAGUAAUUCAUCUACAAUCGAGAUUCCCACCCGACCUACAGAUCUACUAUCUCCAAGCACCAUAAUAAAAGUUUAAUACUUAUAACACUUCACGAUCCAUGACUUAUGCUCAAAGAGCCCUUAAACGUUCAUAAAUAUUCACAAAAUCGGGACCAUAACGCCACUUGGCCCAAGCUCACUCCGCGCAGAGACCACGCGAAGUGGCUCUGAUACCACUUGUAACGGCCCCACCUCCCCCUAAGGCGAACCAGAGGGCUCGGCGGACCGCCUGCCCAGCUCUCGCCGGGACUCAGUCGAUCACUACACUCACCGCUCUAAAGUACGCGUGACAGAAACCAAAGGAAACGAACAAUACGGAAACCUCCAAGCUAUAAGGUUGAAAGUCCCUGCCAAAAUUUGUUUCUCUACCUUUUCACGCUUGAGUAUACUCGUCCGAAACCUCCGUAGUUUCAAUAACUCCAGGCAACCAUAACGAAUGAACACGUUGGAGAGGGGUAACACGUUUACAUAAGCAAACACUUUUAGAUAUAUACAUGAUCACAAUGUUACAAAUCAAAAGGGAGUUGUUUGAUCAAAAUACAUUCAAGGUUUCCAUCUAUUGAGGAGCUAUACAAAAGAAUAUAUAUAACCAGCUCAACUCAUGCUUCCAAAAGAUUUUCCUGUAAGGAAAACAAGGAUAACAAAACGGGGUGAGCUAUAAGCCCAAUGAGGUACCAAAAUAAAGAGAUACAGUCAAGGACCAAGUAAUUCCAUGCUCAAUUAAUCACAUACAUGUGCCCAACAGGAAAAUAAGUAAACAAUCCAGACAGAAAGGAUACAGAUGGCUCUCAGGAGCCAAUUUCCCGUUGCAGUACUUGAUCAGACUAUGUUGACCCUCCGUCAACUUUCAAAUAAGAAAACCCAUCCAGUAGAACACCGCUUUAACGCCAAGUCCCGUCCACCAUUCAUACCCCUUACCGGGCCCGAACGCCGAAUAGAAACAGGAAUGGUAAUACUCGAGUAUACCGGGAUUCAAGAGUCUCAAUACUCAAGAAUUCCAUGAAGCAGGCACCCACGAUUUUGUCAAUUUCCUCGACCAAGCCCUUGCAUGGCUCGAUUUAAUUAACUCCCCAUGAGGUUGAGCUCAGGUUUAACAAGGAAGCCAUUGGACGCAUCCAAACGACAUUAUAACAAGUGCAGGUAACAGGUUCAAGUUCAUAACAUGUACAAGUGAUGGAUUUCAGUUUAUACCACACAGGCAAGAGUACGAGUGUGGUAAAGUACACCCUCAUCUCAAUUACACUAAACAGGAUUCACAGUCAUUCAUGUCAUAGAUUUCACGUACAGAUAUCUCAAGUAGCAUCAAUACAAGGGGUGGUACACUCACCAGAUCAAACAAGAAUAGUUUCAAAAGUUUCCUUGCCAAGUGUGAUUUUACUCGCUGGCACCUCCUAGAACAAGCAAGGCAAACACUUACUACUUGACAUUACAAUUGGAAUCAAAGAAAUUUGCAAGUAUCCCGGUUACAAGUCCUGUGCGUAACCACAUGAACCAUUAAUGCAAAGGCAAUGCGACUUCGGAGUGAAAAGGAGUAACAAUCGGUCUUAAAGGCAUGAAAAACCUCAAUACUCUAUCUAUCAUAGGUAACCAACUCCAAAGUUGAAGUAGAAAAUGAAUGUACAAUCAUUACUCGGAAAACAGGAUUUUUCAGUUUUGCAUAUUCCUCUAAGAAAAAUUGUAUCUCAAGUUUUGUAAGUCCAAAAUUGAUAAAAUUUACACCGUUAGAAACUACAUUCAAAGGGUUAUAACUUUCCAGAAAACACCAUCUUAAGAUUCAGAACGCAAGUCGGUCAAAUUUAAGUCGCAAGGUACUGCUUUAACCAUCACAAGACAGAACAGGUUACAAUUCCAGUUAACUUUGAAAAAUCACUAUAAAUUGUACGGACAGAAACAGGGUCUGAAAUUUAUACGGUUUAUAGCCCUAUGUGUCUAGUUUAAAAUGCAACAAACGGAACUCAAUUCCGAUAUUCCUACAUCAAGAUAUAGGAAUUUUCCUAAGACUGCGCAGGAGCUCUUACGAAAAUUUUGACAGCACUUCCCUUAGUUUUUCCUUACUUUUCCAACCAAACCUCAAUACCAAUUCACUCCUCAAUUCACCACAAUCUUUCCCACAAACAACAAGCUAUAAAACACCUUGAAUUAAGACCACAAUAUCCUUCAAAUGCAACCACAUAAAAGAGUAAAAUAUAAACCCUAAAACUGGAAAUUUUGCUACAAAAGCUGAAAUUCUUUGAAGACAAGCAAAACCAACAUUCUCAAGCUCAAAAUUACUCUUAUCAACUACCAAAUCAUAGCCCAAACAUUAAUCAUCAUAUGAGGACAGAAAUUUUGCUAUAAAACUGAAAUUCACUAUACCUCUACUUAAACCCAUAAACUAAGCUACAAAACUUCACAUGUAACCUCUCCAAUCCACUACUUUGCAAGUACAAGAAGUAAAAGAAAGGUUCUAGGUGGCUUACCUUGAAACUUAAGGAGAAAUGAUAGUUUAGAGCUCCAACUCCAAAACUCACUCCACCAAUCCCUUAAACCCCUCCUAGCUAGCACUUGUAUGGAAGGAAUUAGAAAGCAAAUGGUGAAAUCUCAAUAUCAAAGAGAAAAUUGAAACUAGAAGUGGAAGAGCUUUCUUUCUUUUCCUCUCAAGCUAGCCGGCUGAACAAGGGAAGAAAAUGAAGAUAUUUUGUAGCAAAAAGGUGAUAAGUAUGGAAGAAAACAGCCGGUCAAAGCUGCUGACCGGCUGUGCUACGUCAGAAUCCGGCCAGAAUCUGGCCGGAUACUGGCCAGAGAGUAACUAGUUUUUUUUCAAAAACGUCAAGCAAUCUGGCCAUCAAUCCGGCCAAGAACUGGCCGGAUUUCCGGCCGGAUUCGGUCCUUUAGUUCUUUCGAAUUUUUUUUUUCUAAGGUCAAUCCAAUGAAUAUAUAUUUCAAAACUCACACAACAAUACUUAGUACACACCAAUACAUGUGCACAUAUAUGAAAUGAAACCCUCCUUAGUGAUAGGUAACAAAUUCUUUUCAUUUACAAAAAUAAGAGAAAUAAGCAUCCAAAUAAAUACGGAGAAAAGGUGAAAAUUUAGGGUUCUCACAACCACCACACACCCUUGAUAUUUUUGCAAAAUAUCCCCCCCUCAUACUCAUCCUCUUGGCUGAAAUUGUGGCUAAAAAUGUAUAGGAGAGAGAGAAAAAUUCAUGGUUUUGGUGGUGACAAGUGUCACCACCCUAUGGUCCCUUAGUUGAUAUUUUUUUUCCUUGCCUUCUUAUCACCUUGGAGCUGUCUUUCUUCUUCAUUUUUCUGCUAUCUUGGCUGAGAGAGAGAGAGAGAGGAAAGCCCAAGGGAGAGUUGCCUAAUCCAUCUUGAAUUUGGAUCAUCCAAGUGAGGAAACAAAAAACUAAACCGAUUAAAACCUUCCUUGAGUGUUUAGCUAGUGGUGUGUUGGUGAAAUUUUGGAAGGAAAAGCUAGGGCUGCUCUUGGUAGUCAUUUUAGCAAGGUAAUAAUGCUGUUUUCCCCAUUUUUUACUCUUAAUCUUGUUUAACUUGGCAUAGCACCAUAGAUUUGUGGUGGAUGAUAGCUAUUAUCAUGUUUUGGGUGGAUAUAGUGUAUGUUUUCUUGAGUUACAUGAGUUAGAGUUUGAGGUUUUUGCUGCCUAUACUUGUUGUAUGGAGGUAUAUGUUGUAUCUAAGUUUAUAUAAGUGAUGGUGGUAGUGAUUGAAGCAAGAAAUGAAGAAAGUUUCCUUUGAAUCCCAAAAUUCCAGAUUUCUGGAAAAUUUCAGUACUGUUCUGUCCGGUUUCUUUGCCCUAGGUUAGAGGCCGAAUUAGGCUUGGAAUAAAACAUGCAAGUUGUAGAGAAUGAUAUUUUAUAGGUGCCUACAAAAUUUCAGCCCAAUCGGAGCAACGUAGCCUGUGGAAAGACCAAAUUACCCUCACUGUUUUAGGAUGUUUCCAAUGUUCCGUUUUAAUCAGUUCAUCCAGUUUAUCAUGUUUAUUCACUAGGAUCCGUGCUGAUUUAGCCAUUUUCCAAAACAUGAAAGUUUUUGUACUCUGUCUUAGAUUUUCAAAUCAUCCAAGAACACCUUAAACGGACCUUGGUAGCCUGAGAUAUGACCAUUCUAGUGCAGUGCGGAUAAUUAGCCGUAUAGUUGGAAGUUGGCUCUGUAAUUUGGGAAUUUGACCAGGUUACACUGGAAAUUUGUCUAUGUGAACUUCAUGAAAGUUGUAGGACUUUGUCUUAGCUUCGAAACGGUAUAAGUUACACUUCAAUCCGAUAAGCGUAGUAUUGGUUGUUUCAUUUCCGCAAAAACCCAUCAGAUCUGUCUUUUACUAAAGCUUAUUUCCGCACUUGUUAUUAACUUGAAUUUUGUCCUUGUAUUGUCUUGAGCCUAUUGGACGGCUAUUGAAGUUAGAUUGUUGUGUGUGUACCUUUGGGUUUGAAUGAGAAAAAUAAUGAAGCCAUAAAUGGCUGGAAAUAGGAAAAUACAAAGGGCGUGCUGCCCAUAUUUACGCUUGAUGACUAGAAAACUAUACUUACACUUUGUAUUAGUAGUUAUUUGAAUUUUCUUUGGUCCACUUAAACUUUGGAGGGGUUAACUGUCAUAUUUUCUCUUGGCUAUUAUUAGGGUUUCUUGGCGAUUGAGAGUGUUAUCCGGGAGGAUACUUUGGACAUUAUUUUGCUUAAAUAGGUGAGUGUUCUAUAUAUGCUUUGUUUCUAUGACUAUGAGGAUUGUUGUGACUAUGUGAUUAUUUCUGAAUAUUUGAUUAAAUGUUAAUUGUUUUCUAUGAUUUCUAAAAUGAACUUUUGUUAGGUGAGUGUGUACUUUAUCGCACUCGACCUAAAUAAAUAUGAAAUUUUCGGUGAUUAAAUGUUAAAAUACUAGUUGCGCAUGGAUGUAAGCCUUUUUGGUUGAACUGGGCCCUUGCCCUUGUUACCGAUCGACUCGAACCAGAAGCAGACUCGGUCGGGCGAUAUGGUGACCUGGGUGAACAUUUGGUAUACUUGAGUAUUACCUUGUAGUCCGGCUAACGUCCGGAUGGGUGGAGUCCGGUCAACGUCCGGAUGGGGGGGGAAAGCCUGGCCAACGUCCAGGAGGAGGUGAAUGAGAAUGAACAAACGAACUAAAAAAAUUAGGGGUUUUACUUACAAAGAUACAUUUUUUUUUAUAAUUGGAGGAAUAAGGGAAUGAAUAGGGAACAAACGAACGAAUUGCUCCUUGUGAGCCUGUAUCCUUUUAAUGAAUGUAUUAACAUUGCUUUAUACUGGACAUGUUUUCUGGAUUAUUUGUUAUUACAUGAUUAAUGUCUUUGUUCAAUUACUUGCUUUUGUAUAUAGAAUCUCACUGAGCUUUUAGCUCAUCCCUUUAGUUUUGUUUUCCUUAACAGGGGAAGGCACGCAAGGAUGAGAGCUUGGUAUAGACUAGCUUGGUCUAGCUCCUUGUUUUUGUAAUGGUUCUCGCCCUAGUGUUUGGCUCGGACUGGUUGUAUGGUGAAGUGAGAACCUUUGUAUAUUCGAUGUUUGUACUUCCUUUUGAGAUAGUAAUGCACAUAAGUUUUGCGUUAAGUUUUGGAUCGCCGUUAUAUUUAUUCCUGUGAUUUAUUUCGAUUUUACUUAAGGACUGUAGUGAGUGAGUGAGUCCCGGCGAGAGUUGGGCAGGCGACCCGCCAAACCCUGGGGUAUGCCCUAGGGGGAGGUGGGGCCGUAAAAAAUUGUCCCAGUGUGUUGUUAUUGGACCAUUGGACCUACAAAAAAGUAAAAAGAAUGGUAAUGAUAGAUAAUGCCACCACCAUCCGAUCAAUCUUACUUUCAAGAAAUGUGUAAACGUGAGUACUUGAACGUUUUUCCGAUAUAGCGAAAACUUCACUUUACUCUGUGAACUGUGUCAAGUUUCCUCAACUUCCAACGCUAACAAGACCCUUGGUAUUUAGUCAAUCAUAGGGGUUGCCAUUUGAUAAAUUCUUGAUCCAACUUUGCUCGUCGAAUCACAUUCCAUCUUCUUGACUUCUAAUGCUAAUCAGACACUUGGUAUCCAGGUAAUUGCAAUAAAUCACAGGGAUUGCCAUUGGAUAAAUCCAAAAAUAAAUGAGACCAUGAAACAAAUGAAAGAAUAUUAUAUUUACACAAUCAAUGAUGAAAAUUUCCGUAAUUUGAAAACAAAAAUUACUUUAAAUGAAUCUGUAAACUUAACAAUUUAUAUUGGAUAAACCAAAACCCUUUAAUCUCAAACAAAUUAUCACCGUUGACUCUUUGGAUAUCGUCCUUCCAAAAUUCAAUGUCGGCAACCGAACCACAAGGUGAAUAGAAAUUUUAACAAACUGAGUCAUCAGCCUUUCAAAUCCAAGCUUACUUCUCCUUAUAAAAUCCUACCCUAGUGCCCUUUCGGGUUCUCACUAAGGCUACUCUCACCUUUUUAUUUUUCUUCCAUUUCUUUUUCUUCUUUUUCCCUUUUUCUAAAGGUGCCCUUUCGAUUUUUCACCUGAUGAACAAUGCCUACCAAUAGCCUUUAUCAAUUCAGAAAUGUGCUUUAAGAAAUGAUAGCAUCAGUGUGACAAUCCUUCCCUUGCAAAAUUGGUGAAGGCAUACUGACAUCAUUUGUCAUUUGAUUAAGAAAAUUUCCUUAAAGAAGUGGUGCAAAAAAACGGAAGUCAGGACUUUUGGCUUUUAUAAUGGGGUCUGGUGGGGUGAUAAGAAAAGGUUAAGGUUUGAAGGCAAAUUUUAUGAAUGGUUUAAAUGAUCUGAGAUUGCAUUGUUGCACCAACCCUAUUUUAGGAUUAAAUCAAAACUUGCCCCAGUUUAUUCUUAAUUGAGGCUCUCUUUUCUUUCAUUUUUCUUUUCUUCCUUUUUCUUUUUCGGCCUUCUGCCAUUUCAUUGAAAUUUUUAAAAUUUGCCCCAGUUUAUUUUUAAUUGAGGUUCACUCUUUUCCUUUUCUUUUAUUUCCCUUUCUUUCGGCUCAAACUUACCCCAGUGUGGGGUUUGCAAUUCCCAAGGGUUGCCAAACGAAGUAAUUUAUUCUGAAGGCUCAAAGGGACAACUAGAGAUAGAAUGUUUGAUUGGAAAGGAAGAGGGCCUAACUUUCAUUCCAUUCUUCACAUUAACCCUAAAAGGAAACUUCCAUUUAUCAGAUGAAAAUUUCUUACACAUCUCCGAAUUGAUUGGCUGAGGGAACAAGUGCUCCAUCAGGCGAUAUCUUUUUGAUAAUAAGAGCACCUUACCAAUUCGCGGCAAACUCUUCUUUUGGCUUCAUUUUGUACUGACGAAACCCACCUUAAUGCUUUGCCUUCUUGUCUGAAUGGUCAUGAUUUGACCCUUUAAUGGUAAUUACGGACCAAUCCUUUUGAUCAUAUUGACCAUGAUGGACUAUGUUUAACUGCUUCUUAUUCCUAAUCUUGAUCUCGAUUCGGCUUGAACUUCUUUUUAUUCCAUUCGGGUUUCUUUGAAACAUUUUCGGAUGCCUCUUCCCCACUCCUCUCAUUUUGAAAUUCAAAUUCACAUUCGUGAGAUCACUGCCAUCAAAUUUCUGAACAGUGAUAUCCAAAGGGUCAGACGGUUUUAUUUUGAGCCAUCUGAAAAGAAUGUGUAAGUCACAAUAUAUAUAAAACUGUACAUUUUAUUGAAUUUCCAGACAAAAACCAAACUUAAUAUCAUGAAACGUGUCUUUAGCAGUCACUUGAUUGAAAACUAUUUAUAAAAAACAUAGUUAAACAAAAGACACAUGUAUGAACGAUUUUCAUUGGUUUUAACCAAAACAACUCCCCAAAUUUAUCGAAACUUCCCUUCAAGAGGAACCUCACUAAUUUAGCCAUUUCCAGGAUUUUCAAAUUUCUUCAUUGGGGAUAAAUGCCUCGAAGGUGUCCUUGUGUUCAGAAAAGGGAUUCGUACUUAUGUGCAGUCAUUGUUCUUCCUUUUUCCUUAACACUAUAUUUCCUGCUUCGAUCAUGUCCUGGAUCUUAUAUUUUAGUACCCAACAGUUACUGGUCGAGUGACCGGCCGCUCCAGAAUGGUAGGCACAAGCAGCUUGAGGGUCGUACCCAGAAGAGAGACCUCGACGAGAGUAGUUUGGAGGAGGUAUGUCAUCGAUUUCACCGGCGGUCUUGAGCUGUUCGUACAGUUGGUCAAUGGGUCGGCCUAAGUUGGUAAAAGUUCGAGAUCGAUCAGGUUUUUGUAUUUUAUUGGUUUGAGGAGGGUUGUAAGUCUGUCAGUUUGGUGGAGCAGGUCUGGGAUUAUAAGGUAGACGAGAUUGAAUUUGAGGAUUGUUUUGAGAUAUUGGGAAGGGUAUUGUAGGUGGGCUUGCAUAGUUUGGCUGAGGUCGAGAGUGAUUGGUAGUAGUAUGGUAAACAGGACGUGGGUUUGGGUAGCAAGAUGAAUAUGUGUGGUAACGUUGGGAUCUGGGUCUUGAAAACGGUCCUUGGCCCCACACAAAAGUAGUUUCCUCCUCUUUCUUCUGGAGUUGAGGCUCCCUUCUGUUAUUACUCUGACCUUGCAAGGCGUCCAACUGUGAUUUUAAAGCUGAUACAUUGACAAUUUUCCCUGCUUUGACAUAUUCAUCAUAUUCCUCCAACUUAUUGAUAAUUGCUGCAAAUGAACACCCGGUCAUGCAAAAAAUCUCCUCAAAGUAGGGCAGGUCAUGAGUUUUGAUGAACGUACGAACAAUCUCAUCUUUAAUCAUAGGGGGCUCCACCUUGGCGGCCAAUUUCCUCCAUCUUUUCGCAUAUGUCUUGUGGUUUUCGGAUGGUUUCCUCUUGGUUCCCUCCAAUGUGGUCCUCGUUGGAGCCAACUUGCAAUUGUAUUCGUAUUGCCUUACAAAAGUGGUUGAUAAGUCCAGCCAUGUCCUCAUAUCCUCGGGUUUCAAAUUGGAAUACCAGUCCAGUGCAUCGCCUUCUAAGCUUUUAGGAAACAAACGAACUGGUAGAUUCUCGUCAUCUAUUGGCUUGCCCAACUUGUUGGCAAACAUUCGGAGAUGCGUCUUGGGGUUACCCGUUCCGUCAUACUUGCUAAACUUGGGCGUUUUGAAACCCAUGGGCAAUUGCAUAUCCGGAAUAGGCACAGUUCGUUGUAGUUCAGACCUCCUUGUUUGUUCAAACCUUGGCUUUUCCUUAUGAACUCCUCAAACCGAUCCAAUUGCUUUAGCAAAUUCUUAUCCAUCGAUGCGGAUGACUCCCCAGCUUUUGCUUUCCCUUGGGUGGCGAUAUCCAUGUUGAAUGGCUCAGCGAUGGAGUAAUAAUGUGGUCCCUGAGGUUCGAGUGGCAUAUUCAGACUAAUGUGUGGGUAAUUUUGGGGAAUUUGAGGGUGAGGAGGAUUGGUUUGGAUAGCGGGUGCAUGGGUAUGGGAUAGGCCAUGAGUGGGAUAGAUAAAAGUUUCUUCACACGGAUUUGCAAAAUGCGGGGUAAAGGGGGUUUGAGUAUAGGGUAAAAGUAUUGGUUACGGUUCAGGUUGGUUAGCAGGUAAAGGCUCAGGCUGACCACCGCUACCACUAUCAGCAACCAACUGGUCGAUCAUGUGCCGUUGGGUGGUCAUUUCCAUAUUCAACUCAUUGAAUUUAUUCAAAACUUCACUCAGUUGAGCUCCUAGGUUGGCCAAAUCAGCUAAUGGGGCUGUUACAGGCCUGUCGGAUGAUUCCGGGUGUGUACUCAUAUUUACACAGUUUCUCAAAGCCUGACUGCGAGAUCGUGUAACGAUGGGGCUUUUUGUGUAGCUAUAUUUAAAAAAUACCUGAAAAUUUAGGAAAAAUCCCUAUUUAGACUUCUUUUCUGGCUUAACUGCUGUUAAAAGAAAGAGAAAAAAAGAGAAAACGAGUUAGUAAAAAUUAAAGUAAUUCGGAUGCAUGUCUUAUGGGGGAACCCUUUUUAUGCCAAGGGUAGGUCUAGAAUGAGAAUGCAAUCCUCCAGAGUAGGCACUAUACAAUACCUGAUGGAUCCGAUUAACUUAUUGAGUGAAAAAUAAUUUGAAAAAAUUUGUCCAAUUGGAAUGAAAAAGGGACAUCUGUCCAAAAAAUGAGGACAAAGUCCGAAUGGAUUGCUUGUUUUGAUCAACACACAAAAUGAUGUGUGAAAAAAAGUCUACUCUUAAAAGGAUUAGAAUGUUUCGACUAAUUUAUUCAGUGAACCUUAGACUUAAACCCUAAAAGGAGAAUAAGCGGGUCAAAUGGAUAGAAUGAAAUUGAUAAUUUAUUCAAAAAUAGGUAAGCUGGUCAAAUGAAUUGAAUGAAAUUUGAUUUAUUCAAAAUUGAUCGAAUCACCCUAAAAAAGGGUAAAUUGGUCAAACGAAAUUGAUGAUUUAUUCAAAAUUGACUUAGAUAGUUCGAAAAGCAAAGAAAUAGGAAAAAUGAAUUGGAUGAAUUUGAUGAAUAAAAUGGUCCAAUGGAUUGAAUAAAAUUGACAGCUUAUUUAAAAUCAAUCUAUCCACUGGUAGUUUCAAAAAUUUAUUGUGAUGCAUUAGUCUAUGAGUCUUCUAAAAUCAAAUUUUGGCCUCAAUUUAUUUAUCGUCUCAAUAGUGAGGAAUUAUUUAUAAAUUUCUUCAAAUUAAUGCCUUUCAUGCAAGGGAUUUUUACCAAUUUUAAUAAAAUGGCCAAAAAGUGAUUAUUAGACGCUCAUAUUCCAAAGAUCGCUCUAUGAAAAUGAUCGGAUCCUACCUUACCUUGUGCACUACCCCUUUGGAUGGUACAAAAUGUAAACGUACAAGUCUCCUUGGAUUAAGUAUCCGAGACACGGGCUAGCUUAAUCCUAACACGGGAUUCCAUAAAUGGUAUUCCCUUCUAAGGUGGAUGCAUGAUGCCAGUUUAUCAAAGCAACUAAAUAUGCAGUACACCAAUGAAACGUGGCCUAAAGGAACCCCUUUUUAUACGCCGAGGUGAGCCUAAAAUGACAUGUAUUCAUGCUAAAAAUGCGAAAUAUUGAAUUUAAACGUGUCACAUCAAAUAGAAUAGGCUCCUAAAGAGUGCCAUACCAGGACUCUUAUUUUCUAAGCUUAUGAAUGCAACGGAGACAAAAACCAAAAAAAAUUAGUUCAAUCAGACAAAUACAUAUAACACAUUUGCAGCAAAACAAUACAACGAGAUAAAGCAAUAAAAGGAAUAGAGGGGUUGGAUCCCUCCCCUCGUGAAUAGUGUUUCUAAUUUAGGGUAAGGUCGACUCUACCCUAGGUAAUUCUAAUAUGGAUGCAUGAGGUUUGGCUCACUAAUGCAUAUAGACUCGAUAAGGCUUCGGCUCCCAGGCCUUCAGACCUAAAGGCGAAGGGUCAUCAAUUCCAGGGCCUUCGGUCGGUGGCUCGAGUGAUCCCUUGGGCAUCACUAUGGACGCAGUGCACACCAUCCGCAUACCUAAGGCAAUCGAUCCUAAUCCUAUAGGGAGAUGUGGGAUGGCGCCCACGAUAAAGAGAAAAAAAAUAGGAUAAAUAAAACUAUACAUGCACAUAUGAAGUGCUUCAUUUGGAGAGGAGGGGUCGAGAACCAACGCGAGACUCUAGGGUAGUAUCCCCACCCAAAUGCAAUGCAAAGCGCGGGAUAAACAUAAAUAAACCAUCCAUCCAUCAAAAUCAAUCGUACGCAAAGGGUGAGGGAGUGAGUUGAUACGCGCAAAAUGCAAAAAUUCUAGAAAAGAAAAAAAAUGCAACUCUAAACAUCCAAAUGUGAUAUAUAAAGAGGUUAGAAAAGGAAAAAGAUUGACUAAAUCAAAUGCUCGGACCCUCUAAGUCCCCAGUGGAGUCGCCAGCUGUCGCGCCCCAUUUUUUAAAUAAGAAAAAUUAAAGACGAGUUUAGGAAAAUGACUUUUGAUUCGAUUUUUGAUUGGAAAAUGAAUUUUUGAAAAAAAAAUAAAAAAAAAUAAAAUAAACAUGGGUCUAAAUGGGACUUGAAAAUGCGACGAUUUGACCCAAAAUAUAGUUUAAAAAGGGUUUUUUGAAUGGAAAAUGGAGUCGCCACUUGGUAUUGAGUUGAGGUGUACCAAAUCACCUAAAAAUGAAUUUUAACGAAAAAAGUAGAAAACCCCUUUUUAAACGACUCCAAGUCUACGAAAAUCAGAGAAAAAGAUUCGGGAGUCACAUUUGAAGAAAGGGAAGGCAAGGAUAAGAAUCCAAGUCACCCUUUCAACCUAGCCAAGGCUAGUUGCGCGAUUUAGUCAAAAGAUUUUCUUAUUUUAACCUAAAGAUUUAUCACAUUUGGAGGUUCUAUAUGAAUGCAAACCCUAGACCUAGGAGGGUAUCGAGGGGUCGAAAUGUAUCUUCAAAGCUUACUUGGUACCAAUCACAUUAAUUGUAAUGCCCAAUAAAGACUUUUUGAAAAAGUCACGAAUAAUGCAAGUCGUGGGACUCGAAAAAAAGGAAAAAUAAAGAAAAUAAUAAUAUGCAAAUAUGUAUGAUCUAAAGGAAUGCAUCAUAAUGGGUGCGGGGGACUUUUACUUGUGACUUUCAAUGUUCCCUUUAAUAGAGGGAAUACGAGCGUGCUAAAACUAGAGAAGCCAAAAUCGUCCAUAUCCCAUAUCCAAGGGGCAACUUCCCUAAUCUAAUCAUGCAAAUGUACUAGCCUAGUUCUAGUCCUUACAUGGGAUGCAAGUCUAAUGUCAUGCUUCAUACAAAGGGAUAAAUAAUAUACAUAUAAGGGAAAAUAUGGGGGAAGGGGUAUAAGUAUAAGGAGGGAUAUCAUGCAAAAAAAUGAUAAAGACCCUAAAAAGUGAAAAUAUGCAUGAGAUGAAGUGAUUUUAUCACACAAUCAUGAUAUAACGUGCGGAUAGUUCCUAAGGGUUUAGCGUUGAACUGACCCUGAACGAACGUUCUCUGACAAGCAUUGGACUUGUAAGAGCUCGAAGAGAAGACCAUGACUAGCAUUGGACUAGCCACGGUAACGUACAUUCCAUCCACAUAACCAGAUAUAAUACUAAAGCAAAUAGACAUGCAAAACACAUAGUUUCACAUAGCAUGUAACACAUAAGCAUGCUUGUCUAGAUGCAGAAUCCUAGGGAAAGCAAUUAAACACAUAGGCAUAUAGGCACACACAAGCACAUAGCACACAAGCCCUAACUAUUACAAAAAGGGAUGCCUACUACAAUCUAAAGUGGGGAAGACUUAGAAAAGUAAAUCCUAACUAUUACAUUGGCUAGCUAAAACAUGUCUUUAAGAGAGGCGCCAAAACCUAGCUAUUACAAAUUGGGGUUCAAAUGCCCUCAAAUGACUUGCCAAUUAAAAAGGCGAAAUAAAAAGAAAGCGAAACACGCAAUUAAACAUUAAUAAAAUAAAAAGCGAAUUAAAGCAUGCAUAUUCACACAAAACACGUAGGAGCACGUAGGAGAAAUAAAAUCAAGGAGAUAGAGGUUACCUCCCUUGCAAUGGGAAUGAGAUGAAGGAAAUAUUAGCUUUCAAAACAAAAAAAAAGGGUCAAGGCACCAAUUAAAUAGUAAAGUAUAAACAAAAUCACCAAAUCCCUCCCAAUUGCAACUUAAAUGAAAUCACAUAACCUCCCUUGCAAUGGGAAUGAGAUGAAGGAAAUAUUAGCUUUCAAAACAAAAAAAAGGGUCAAGGCACCAAUUAAAUAGUAAAGUAUAAACAAAAUCACCAAAUCCCUCCCAAUUGCAACUUAAAUGAAAUCACAUAAUGCAUAAUUUCCAAAAAAGUAAAUUAUUGAUCGAAUUUCUAAAAUAGAAAAAACUACCAAGGACCCAAUAGCAAACAUUAACCCAUCAAUCAAGUCCAAUUAAAAUAUUUUGGGAACUUCAAAGGUCCAUAAGUAAUGAAAAAGUCAAGUAAUGAUUCAAAUUGCAAUUACUCUAGGACCUAAUUGCAAGAAAGUGGAGCAUAAUUAGGCCUUUGUAGCAUAGAUAGAAGCUAAGGGGAGUAAAGUGCAAUUUUUUAAAGCUAUUUUGCAUGCAAAAACAUGCAAAAACCACGAAAACAAGUUUUCUGCAACAGAAGAUACUCGGCAGCAUAGGAAGCUUUCUUCUGCAAUUCUAAGCUUUCAAAUGCAGACUUCAUACAAGACUUCAAGCAAGAGCCAGAGAAAACCAUCACUCAACAUCCCCUUAACAGCUAAACACCUUGAUUAACACAACCCAAUCAUGAACACCAAACCAUUAAAGAUCAAGUGAAGAAACAAAUGAAAGACAUAUGCAGCGACAGAAGAGCAAAAACCAGCUUUCUGAAUUUCUUAAAUGGAGCUUCAUCAUUCAACCAAGAGGCCUAUGCGAAGUAACUCAAACGAAGCCUAUUGAAUCAAACCCCCAGAUGCUAUAACUUCAUCCCAUUGCCAUUAACAUCACCCCAAAACAAUCAUCUAUCCCUAAACGAACUAAUCAUAGCUGCUAGACAGAAAAUGCAGCAAAGUGAUUCGAACUUGGAGCAGCUAAUGUUUUUACUCAUCUACAAACAAUGGUUGUGCUAUGGCCUGCUAUUAUACCGUACUUUGCUGCAACAAAUUGCAGCAAACGCACACAAUGGCAUCACCUUCCAACAACCAACAGACCCAAGAAGGAUUCUAGCUAAACAAAACUUCAGUCACCAACAAGAAACAACUCUACCAACAUCGCUGCAACAACAACAGAACUUAUGACCUGUUGCAGCAGAUUUUCAUGCACUCAAAAUGUCGAUCAACAUUUCAAACCUAAACCCAACCUCAAAUUCCUACCCAAAUUAUAAUUCCAAAUACUCCAUCAUGCAUACGAAAUCACACACCGAAUGCAAAGCUAAUGAAAGCUAUCAUGCGAAUGGGUUGUUAUGUAAUAGCUUUAGAAGCAUAGCUGUUAACUUCAUGAGCAGCAAAACCGUAGUACAGCAAUAAAAGAAACGCUCUAGCUAACAGGGAGUUCACGGUUUCAUGCAACAAAGGAGGACACUUUGAGGCACAGGGGACAGAAUUAAAUCAUCACAAGCAAGGAGAACAAAGACAAGACUGUGGGCAUACAAUUAACAAAAAAACGUCUGCAACAUUUGAGUUUCUUUUUGCUGCAAUUCUUUGCUAUCCAAACACUACUAACAGCUCAACUAACAACAACUUGGAGCAAAGUAACAAGCUCACAAGCAUGUUUUCCACUUUUCACCAUACAACUUUAGGUUUAAACACAUAAAAAUCCGAAGGAAGACCAUGUAACUUUAGCAAAUUUCUGGAACUUAUCUGAUACUUAAACACUUUAACAAUCUUACCUAUAGCUAGCGCAAACCAUUUAAGACACAGCAAACCAUUAUGACUUAGCUUUCUAACGAAGAAACAAAACACAAAACAUUAACCUUGAUCAACGAAAGGAAAUCAGCACAAACGCAACCUUAACCCUCCUAAGAUUAGGUUUUUACAAAACUAGCAGACAAGCAAAUCACCAGGUUUCAGUUUGGGAUUGAGACUGACUCUUUCGGCGCAAGAUUGUCACUUUAGGGCCGUUUGUCAAGCAACCCACAAGCAUGAGAGAAUUUCGAUAAUGCAGAAACGAAAGGAUAAAACAGGGAAAGGCUACCUUCACUCCUUUUGGUAGCAAAACAGCGCUUGAAUGGCGAAGCGAUGGGCUUUAGCACGGGACAAGCGAAGCUGGGAAUCAUUUCACCUGCUGCUGUAGCUGCCUUCCAGAUUCUGCACUACCUCCCUCCUUGCUUCUUUCUGGGCCGGAAGCUUUUCCUCCUCUUACUCUCAGUCUCUUUCUCUCGGUUUCUCUUUUAGUUUUUCUUCCUUCCGCCGUCCUAAGCUUCCCUCAUUCUCCCCAGAUUCUCUCAGCCGCCCCUUUUUCUCCCUUAGUCUGCUGCUUUCUCUUAUCCCUUUUAUAUGGGAAGCUAAACCCUCAAACCCUCACACCUAAGGCUAGGAUGAUAGUUGGUUUUUUUACCAAAAUUUUGGAGCCCUUAGAUUUUAUGAAUGAGAUCUUUGAGUGAUGAGCUAAACUUAAGAAAAACAACGGAAAUGAGUAAAAUAGAAGAAAUGGCCAGCUGCAAUUGUUUUCUUUUUUUUUUCUUUCUUUCUUUUUUUUUUAAUAAUAAUAAUAUAAUAAAAAUGAAAAUAUCAUUUUAAAUAAAAUCAAACAAAAUGAGGGAGACCAGGAAUAACAGACAAAAUAAAAAUGCCCUAAAAAAAUAUUUUUGUGUUUGAUUGAUGAUUUGCCCUUUUCCUUUUUUUUUUCUUUUUUUUAAUUAAAUAACAAUGAAAUUGAAUCUAAAAUAACUAAAGCAUAUUUUUUGUGAAUGAUUUUCUUUUCCGAUAAAUUCUAUGCUAAAAUGACUUAAAAAUAAAGAUAAAAGACUAAAAGUAAAUAAAAACUCACAUAAAAAAAUAAAAAUAAUAGUAAACAAAAAUACCCCUAAAAUUUGGUGUCUACAAUUAUGAAAGCCUAUGAUAGGGUGUCAUGGUGCUUUCUUUUGUAGGUGUUGCGGCUGUUCCGAUUUUCUGAGACAUGGAUCGAUGUUGUUUGGUGGCUGGUUUCCAACGUUUGGUUCUCGGUACUGAUCAAUGGGGUGCCGCAGGGGUUCUUCCCAUCCACGCGUGGGUUGAGGCAGGGCGACCCAUUAUCUCCAGCCUUGUUUAUCAUUGGGGCUGAAGCCCUCUCUAGGGCUUUGAACGCUUUGGUUGAGCAGCGCCAAUUUCACCCGUAUAAGGUUCCCAUUGGCUGCUCGAUUGUCACACAUUUGUCUUUUGCUGACGACGUAGUCAUUUUCACCAGCGGGUUGAAGUUUUCUUUGCGUCUCUUAGUGAGGGUCCUAGAAGAUUAUUGUGCAGUCUUGGGUCAGAAGAUUAAUAAGCAAAAGAGUUGUUUUCUAGUGCAUCCCCAGCUCUUCCCGCACCGCUAUAGAAUUAUCAGGCAUUUAACGGGAUUUCAAAGGAGGGACUUUCUGGUCAGAUACUUGGGUUGCCUGUUAUUCAUUGGUCGAUAAAAGAAGGAGUACUUUGGGGAGAUUUGCAAAGGCAUUGUCAACAGAAUUUUAUCUUGGAAGCAGCGAAUUCUGUCACCAGGGGGAAGAGUGGUGCUUCUCAAGCACGUUCUAUCCUCUCUGUCGAUUCACUUAUUGGCAACAGUGUCGCCUCCCAAGGGAGUCUUGCGGGAGAUGGACAGAGUUAUGGCUGCUUUUCUGUGGGGUGCGUCAGAGUUUGACCCGCGGUUUCAUUGGAUGAAAUGGGCAGACCUAUGUCGGUCAUAUAGCGAAGGGGGUUAGGCUUCCGGCGGCCAACUGAAGUUUUUCAAGCAUUCUCCAUGAAGCUAUGGUAGAGUUUCAUACAGGGUCACUCUUUUUGGGCCGCUUUUCUUGCGGCCCAGUAUUAUAGAGGUCAGCACCCUUGCCUGGCUCUCAUUCUCCGUCGAUAAUGCCUACGCCUUCAACUCGUAGGAACUACGAGAUCACCCCAAGGACGCCUUUGGCAUCUGGGGCCGAAGGAGAGAAUAGGGAGUUCGUACACUUGGAGACGGAUGUGUGCGGUCCAGGGUUUAGUGGAGGACAACAUUGGUUGGAUUGUUCGAUCAGGGACAAUGGACUUCUGACAUGAUAACUGGAUAGGGUCCGGCCCACUGUGUCACCGAGUGGAGGUCUUCCAGAACUAGCGGGUAGCUGAUUUUGUUAAUGAAGGGGAAUGGAAUGUCCGGUUACUCUCACAAGCUCUGCAGCCGGAGUUGGUUCAACUAGUGAAGGCGAUCACGUCUCCAACACUUCAAAGGGAGGAUAGGAUGGUGUGGAUGUUAACCCCCAAUGGAGAGUUCUCAAUUGCCUCAGUUCUAUCGCUUGUUCACUCUCAUUCUAAUGGGUCUCUCGGCGCCGCUUGCAUUUGGCACAGGUCCUUGCCAAUAACAAUCUCUUUUUUCAUGUUUCACCUACUUUCAGAUAGGCUGCCCUUACUUGAACAAUUACAACGCUUUGGAGUCCAGGGUCCUUCUCGAUGCUGCUGCUGCGUCGACCCUAGAAGGAAUGAUUGAACCAUGUGUUUUGCACAGGGGAAGCUACCCGACAAGUAUGGAAAGCGUUCGAAAUUCAGGAAGAAAGGUCUUCUCGUAUCAGCUCGGCUCGCCAUAUGGCAAUCGUGUGGUGGAUACGACCUGCUCCGAAUCGGUAUUUGGCAUUUGUCUAUCGCCUCUUGCCUUCUCUAAUAUGCUGGGAAUUGUGGAAAGCAAGAACUAGUGUUUUAAUGCAAGGGGGUGGUCAGAUGGGGGAGUGGUGGUAGCCCGAACCUUGUCUCGGAUCAGGGAUCUGUUGCACUUAUAAUUUCAUUUGCUAUCAUGGGCCCAUGACUCUUGGGGGAGCUUGCACGCCAACUUGGAAGGUCGGCCAAAACGGCUGAUCAUUAGGCCUAUAAAGUGGGUGGUCCCGUCAGCAGGUUAUAAGGUUAAUACGGACGGGUGUUUGCUUGGCAAUCCAGGGAUGAGUGGAGGGGGAGGGCUGUUGCGGGACUCCCAAGGAGGAUUUCUCUUUGGCUUUUCCUAUUUCUUUGGUGUCACUACUAGCCUACACGCUGAGUUACAAGCCUUGGUGUAUAGGGUAAAACGGUGUGUAAUGCAGGGCUACAUGAAUUUGCACCUGGAGGUGGACUCCCUAACUCUGGUUCAGAUCAUAUCAGGGGAUUAUGCAUGCCCUUGGCAUUUGCAGGUGGAGUUGGACGAUCUAUUGCGGUUUCAGAGUUUGUUUCGGUCAAUAACACAUUGCUUUAGAGAGGCAAAUAAACCAUCAGACAGGCUAGCCAAGAUGGGUGCGACCCGGGGAAGUGAUGCGUUGUUUGAUUCCUUUGUAGAGCUAUCCCCUAUGGCUCGCGGUGAUAUACGGAUGGAAAGUUUAGGCUUUCCAAGCUUUCAAAGAAGGAUCUUGUAGCUUGCUCUUUUUGAUGUAAUCGUUUCUGGUGUGAAAAAUAAAUAAAUUUUGCAUAAAACAAAAAAUAUAUAUCUUGUAAAGUGGAAGCAAUUAUGUCUUGAAUUUUGCAUGCUUGAUAAGUUUUCUAUUUUAAUUAAAUUUCAUAUUUUGAAUGAUGAAUAUGGUCAAUAUUGGCAUUACUUUGCUAUGAUCAUUCUAUAUUAUGGAAGCUCUUAAAAAAAAGAAAGCAAAAGUGAGAAAAAAAAGAAAAAAAAUUAUUAAAUAAGUAUUUACUCUAAUGAUUCUUAAAUCUUAGUAACCAGGAGUAUUCAUCUAUAAAUAUUGACUUUCAUGUAAAAUGACUCUUGAAUUAUGAGUAUGCAAUGCAAUUCUAGUUAGUGAUGAAAUUAUGUAACUGUGGGUGUUUAUCUACCAAUAUCGAUUUUCACGUCAAAAGAUAUUUUCACUACUUGAGGAAACUAUUUGUUAUGGAUUAAAUAAAUCUCUCUUUUUAAAUAAUAAAGAUUAUCAUGGAAUUCGUAUGCUUUGACUUGACCAUGAGUUGUUAAGAGUGAAAUUGAAUUGAGAAGAGGAAAUGAGUUGAUAAGUCUUAAUUCUUGAUAUAAUUAUCGCUCCUUUACUUGGUAAUAUGAGUAUUUGUGGUCGAAUGAAUGGUUGUAUAAUGGAGGUUUAUCUUGUUAUUGAGGAAUUGAAUUUGAAAGAUACAUGAGCACAAAGGAAUAUAUUUGAACUAUUGUGAUGGUCAGUAGUUCUUAAUUGCUUGAAAACAAGCAAUAGUUCAAGUGUGGGGGAGUUUGAUUAGCCAUUAUUUUACCUAUUUUUAGUUAGGUUUUAAAUUAUGAUUUUGGUUUGUUUUAGGUUAAAAUGGAAGAAUUGAAUUCCUUUAUAAGUUACUUUUUAUACAAGUAGUAUUUCUUAACCAAAACAUGCAAAAGUGUGGGAUGAUAUGCAAAAUUGUGUUGUUUUGUAGGUUUUGAUAUCAUAGGAAGAGAUUCAAGUCAAAAAAAGUUUGGUCUUCCAGCAGCUUCCGAGGGAUGUUAAAGCUACUAUACUUCUAGAUAGUAGGGAAAUUCCUUUUGUUCGAACACAAAUUGUGAGAGAGUAGAACCCUGGGUUCUACUUUUCGCUACAUCAGUGUAAUUUGGUCUUCUUAAUAAAAAAAAAAGCACAUUUUGUGGCCAAAAAAAAAGUCAAAAGGAGUUUCACACCUUUGACACACUUUGGUAUUUUGGGCUACAAGUAUCGGAUUGAGACGAUUCUUAAAUUAUUUUGAAACUAAGACAUAGCUCUACAAUUCAUGUGCAGAUAUCGAAAUCCAGUUCUUUGAGUUUCCUGGUCAAAAAGUCAAAAUACAGUCGGCAAAAUUUAUGUCAAAAGCUGAAAUAGUACAUUUACCAGUCAAGGGUAUUUUGAUCAUUUCUCCGCUUACAGAGAUCCAAAUGAGAUGAUUCUUAGUGCAUUAGAAAUUUAACUCAUAGAGUUAUAACUUUCAUGUUUUGAGAAAGAGCUAAUUUGGCCUCAAUCAUCAAGAAAAUUGCAGUUGAAAUUGGACCAAAAACAAAACAAAGUUUAGUUUUUAACUGAAAGUACAAAACUGAGCACAAAGAAGAUUCAUGAGGCAAAUCCGCCAAAUGUAGGUCAUGGAUCCACCUUGCAGAUCCCUGAAUCACAGCUGCAAUUUGCUCUGCAACUUGCAUUCAGUUCACACAACAUUUUUGACCAAUUUGUUUGCAAAAAUUCUGACUCGAACCAGCCAAAUUUGAGUUGGAGAAGUAAAAACAAAUUUGUGACUACAUUAUGUGCAUAUCUUCUCAACCAAAAAGAUCUAUAAAUGCUCCUCAUAUCUCAUUCAUAUGAGCAUCAUUUUAGCAAGAGAUAGUACCUUAUAGAGUAGAGUAGAAGAAGAGAUAGAAGUAGUUAGCUCUAGUUUCAUAUUGAGAGUUUCUUUUUUUUUUUGUUUUGUUUAAAAAGCUUUGAGAGAGAGGUGCAAACACACUUGUAUCAAACUUAUUUGAGAGAUCAACUUGUGAAGGAAUUUAAGUAUUCAAAGUUCAAGAUAUUGAAUAAGAAUUCUUCUUCUUAAACCUUGUCUCUUCUUCUUAUUUGCCAUACUUUGUUACAAGUUCGUUUCAAGCUUAGAUGUUCUUAAUAUGAUAUCUAGCUAAGUUUUUUCAUAUCUUAGGGUGAAGAUGAACUUGUUAUAGUUUUGAUUUGAAAUAAUUAGGGGAUGAUUAUGCUUUUUUCAUAAUUUGUUAGUUUGAGAACUUGUGCUUAUACUUUAUAGUUGUUUGGCCAUCAACUAUGAAUGAUUUGACACUUGUUGAGUAAUGAAAGUUGCCUUCAAUAGAUCUAAAUUCUUAAACACUAGCUUUAUUCUCACAAAAGUAGUGAAUAAUGUUUGGUUAAAUUCAUAUAAUAAUUUCAUUGAACUUAUUUAAGUUGUUUCUUACUUUUUCUCUAUGAACUUAAGUGAAGGAUGAUUGAAGAAAUUAAGGGAAUUGGUGAAAGAAAUUACUAGAGAAACUAGUCAAAGCAAUUUCUAUUAAAAUUUCCAUUGGCGAAAGCAAGGACAUACAAUUGGAAGUUAUUUCUUGACAAAUUAUGAAAGCAUAAAGUACAAUCACCUUAACUAACUUCUAAUCUUGAUAUAACAAGAGAUUCCAAUCCUUAGGGUCCGCUUACUUCAUCUUUAAACAAUUAUAAUCUAACUUGUUUUUAUUUUUAUUUACUUUCUUGCAACAUUCCACCUAGAUGGUUGGUUUUACCACCUAAUGGCCGGUUUUACAUUUAUUCCUUAUGUUAUAUGAUCUGUUGUACUGCCUAAGCUAACUUCUAACUUUUAUAGCUGGUUCUACUGCCUAAACUAACCUAUUUCAUGGCCGGUUUUCCUGCCUAACUAACUUUCUUAGCUUUUACUUCUUUAAAAUUUGAUUGUUUAGAUAAUAAAACAAGCAAUUAGACUCAAGUGAUUGUCAAAUUCUAAGUCCUUGUAGGAUCGACACCUAUUAUCUUUAUACUCAAGAAACGAGCUGUGCAGUUGCAGAAAUAGGGUAAUAAAGUUUUAAAAUUUGUAAAGUAGUGAAAUACCCUAUCAUUAUACUUGCAAAUGUAACUUAUAUUUAUGAAAUAAUUGUGUAGCCUAUAAAUACCAAAGUAGUUUCAAGAAUUAUUAACUUUUCUCCUAACUACAAUUCUUUGUACAACUAAUAUUUUUCUAUUAUUCCAUAAUUCCAUUUUUUGAGGGCAAAGUAAGGUUUUUGGGAAACAUCUAUUUCUCUUGAUUGUUCAAAUUAGAGGGAAGCAACGGCCUUGAGUUCAAUUGUUAUGUCUUGGGGUAACACACUGAGACAUUGUGCAUUGAAAUUUAAAAAAAAAAAAAUCCACAGGGAUGCGAAUCAUUUUAAGGAGACCAUUUUUAUGCACCUCAAGCUUAUUGGAUUCUCAAUUGGUGCUAACUUUAUGGUCACCACCUUGAGGAUUAGAAGAUUUUGUCUGCUCUCCUUCGACAGUACUAUAUGUAUUAGAACUAAUCUCAACAUUUCAUGGGUACUAAUCUCAUGUGACUCAACCUAUAAAUUUAAACAAUGCAACCAAAACCAUAAUCUAUCAACUAACCACACAUAAUCAACUAUAUAGUCCACUAAUGAUUAGUGUUUGGUUUAGUUAUUUCCUGCAUGCAAUAAAACUUGAGGGAGUUGCAUGAGAUUACAAAAUUAGUUUAGGGAAUAAAUGUACUCGUCAAAAUCCAAUAUUCUUCAAAAAAUCUAUAUGAGGAAACUUUGGACAAUAGUAGCAUGUAAACGAGAAGUAGAUAAAGAACGUCUUGAUUUUGUCUAGUGCCCUAUUUAAUUAGAAUUGGAAAUAAUAGCAACCAUAAUUAUAAUUGUCAAAAUUGUAGAGAUUGCUUUGGUUCAAAGCCUAGAUUUUAAAAAGAUAGCAUUAUCCCAUAUGAUGAGAAAUCUCGUUGAAUCAAAUGCGAUAGUUUUACACCAAGGAACUAGAAAGAAAUUGUUGCGACAAGGGAGAAGGUUGAAGGAACUUCAAGAUGGCACGGGGAUAGGAAAAUGGGAAUACUAAUCUCUAGUAUUAUGCAACAUUAUAUCUAUAUUAUUUAUUUUUAGAGAGAAAUGUAGCUUUAAUUUCCAAUAUUUGGCUUGUGUACUGAAUUGAUCUCUUGUAUUUCAACCAAAACAAAUAUGGUCUCCAAAAUUUCUAUUUUUAAAUAGAUUUAGGACAAUUAAUGAAAAUUCAACCAUCAUAAUGGACAAAAAGAAUAUUUGCUAGUCAACAUUUUUAACUGUAUAUUUUAGGUUCCCAAUAUUUUGAUUUUGAGCCAUAAUAGUCCCUUAAGUUUUAAAUACUAAUAUUGAAGAUUUUAAGAUGAUAUUAGAUGCGAAUUGGAUUCAAAUUGCGUUAGUUGCGUAUUAGAAAUUUUAAUAAUAAAAAAAGAAAAAUCUAAAUACACUUCUUUUUCUUCUCUUUUUAUUUCUUUACAUCAUUUAUUUAUGUUACUAAUUUAUUAGACAUUUCUUCUCUUUUGCAUAGUUGGUUUCAAAUUUACCACAAUACAUAAAUUUUAUGAAUGCUUAAUUUAUAAUGGAUUUUACCAUUUGUCACUUAUAUUGAUAAUUAAUCACUUAACUAAUUACCCUAUGAAAUAUAAACAAUUUGAUUGUCAAGUAAAAAUUUCUUUUUCUUCAUUGGCAUUUUGAUAGUUUAUCGAUUAUGUUUAUGAUGAGAUUUGUAUUAUGCAUAAUUCUUUGAAUUAUUCAAUACAAUUAUCAAUGUAGACAAACAUAAAUUUAAAUACAUUAAAUAUUUAUAAUUGGAGUAUUAGAAUUUAAUAGAAAGGAAAUACAAGAAAAAUAAUAGGAAGAAUUUUCAAAAAUCCUUAAGAGCACUUCAAAUUGAUACUUACCCUUGUCUUUUAAUGGCAAACUCUAUAGAUAAGGAAGGGAUGUCAGCCCUAAUUUAAUAAUUAUAAAUAAUAAGAAAGAGAGGGGGAUAUAUGACCUUACUUCCAGUAUAAUUAAUUAAAAAACAAGAAAUAACGGGAACUACUCCCUUACAAUGAAAGAUCUAAUUAUGGGAAAACUGACACUAUUAAGUUUAAGAAGGCUUUGAGAUCUCUUAGGGAGUUCUAAUACUAUUGAAAAAUAGCCCAUAUCACUUCAUAUUGGUACUUAACCUUACUAGUAAUUACAACCUUACUGGUAAUUACAAUUCCUAACUACAUCCGUUUAAAGCUUACAUUUGCCUAAAAAAGCCUACAUUUACAAGUCAUACCACAAUUUGUGUAAUAGAAUUUAAAAUAAAGUUAUGUAUUAAUAUUAGGAUUCUCCUUUUUUCCCACUAAUAAUUUUAUAUAUUAUCUGGGUGUUGUUAUUAGAUUGUAAUUCAUUUUAAAAAGAGGUUCCUUUUUAGGCUAGAGAUAGUAUUGUGCAGAUGUGAAGUGUUUUUAGGGAUUUUUAUAGGGAUUUUGGAACACAUUUACUGUAUAUUUAAUUUAAUUUUUAAAUAUUUAAUUUAAUGUUAUUUUUAUUUUCUUUAAAAACUUUAAAUAAAUAACUAUUUGAAACACAAUUGAUCAUAUUAAUCAAAACUUCAAACACUAGGGACCAAAAAUGCAAAUUCUAAACUUUUUACUGACUCUCAAUUGAUUUUGACCAUUAGCUCUUGUGAUAUUUCGUUUGUCAUCCUAAAUCUGCUUAAAGUAAAAAAUUUUAUGAAUCACAUUUAUUUUAAUCGAAAUAUUGAGAACCAAGCUAGACACAGGCCAGACAUUAGUGAUAAAAAAUAUAUUGUUCCCUUAUUUUCGAAACGCUGCCAAAUUUUUAGGACCCAAAUUGCAAUUCUGUCUUGACAAUCUGUUCAAAAAAUCCUGAUCUGCAAUGCAUCUUAACAACUAUGCUUCAUCGAACAUGAUCCGUUCCAUCCAAGGCCCAAGACUAGACUUGACUUUAUUGCAUUAGUGAUUAAGUGCAAAGUCAAUUUAAUUUAUAACUUGGACAAGGAAUGACGAUAGAUCAAGCUGGGAAUUUUGCUCCGCUGAUUCCCCGAUCAAUCCGGCGUUUCCCGAGACAUCCGUCAAUUUACACAAGGCUUGACUUGUCUCUUUCUAUCGUGUUGGAGCAUUGUCAUGUGCUAUUUUCUUUUCUUUUCUUUUCUUUUCUUUUUGGUUAAGGAAGAUGCGUAUAUAUAUUAAGAAAAGUAAAUCAAUGAAAUGCAACAUAAUUCCCCUCAAAAAGAUUAUCAACUAAAAACCAAGGGAAUGACAGUGGAACAGUCAUUUUCUACAUUUGGCGGUUUUUGUCCUAACAUCAAGGCUCAAGAGUCAAGACUAGAAGUCAAAGUGGAAAUGCUUUUGCUCGAAGAUUUAAUAAUUAAGAGUUUGUCUUUAGGCUCUAAAUGAGCACUCGUCAAGAGAAGAGUUUGGUGUUAGUUUUUUUAAAAAUUAAAUUUAAAUUAAAAAUUUUUUGAAUGUAAUAAAGACAAUGACUGUGGGCGUAAGUAGUCAUACAGUAAAUUUCGUAAAAUAAGAUGCAUUAACAAGUAAUUAACUGGCACCCGGUAAAAAAAAAAAAAAACAGUAAUUAGUACAUUACCAAUCCCAGAAUGAGAUCCCAUUUGUCCAUCUAUUUAAAUAAAUUACCUUGAUGAUUUUAUUGUUAAAUUACCAACUAAAAGAGUAGUUAAUUGGGAGGAGAAUAGGAGAACAUGUAACUCAAUGGGAGGUUUAUGCGUUCUGUCACAACAAAGCAUUAAAAUCAAUAAAAUAAAUAAAUAGUUUCGUUAAGAUUUUAGGCUCCCGUCCUUAUAGUUCCAGCCCCUCUCACUCUUUCGCUAUCUCCACCGUCUACAUUUUGCAUGUAAUAUUCUUCAGAGUUACUUUAAUUUUGCCAUGCAUCCAUCAACUUCAAGUCCAUGAGGCUGCUUUGCAAUUUCUCCCAAUUUCAGAUGCCACAAAAGAUUUUUUAAGAAAUUGUGAGAAGGAAAAAAUGCCAAAAAUUAGAGAUAUUUGGAUCUUCAGAUGUGAUAAUGACACAUGCCACUUACGUAAAUGUCAUGUUCCUUACAACUGUAAACCUACAACUGUCUAUGUAAUAAAAGCACUCUAAAACGUCAUAGCCUAUAUCUUUAUCCUUAUCCUUAUAAUAUGUAAAGAUGGGUCAAGGGUGAAGAUAGUUUUUGGAUUUUAACGGCAAGGAUUAGACUAUUAUGAAAAUAUGAGAGUGCUUGAAGUGCAAUCUGAGUAUUAAAUACAAGUUAUUACAACUGAUGCUAUCCAUCACAAUGAGAUUUUUUUUUUUUUUUUUAACUUACAAGUGCCAAUGUCUAAUUAGCCACACAUCACUAAUUCACAAAUAGUACACUAUUAAUUAAAGUGUAAGUACGUAUGAAAUACAAUUUGUAUUCAUUGAAACCUAAAAAUACUAUAAGUUUGUCGAACGCAUGUCCUAAAAUUAUGAAUACCCCACCCCCUCCCCCCACGGGGCCGCGCAAAAUUAGGAAUUAAGAUAGUUAGAUAUACAUACAUGUUUUUUCAUCCAAUUUCAUCAAUAGGAUGGGAGAUUAGGCCCUAGUCAUUAUCUUUUGAAAGAGUUUAGUUAAAUAGAAAAGUGAAUAAAUACAAAGGGGUAAUAAAUACAAAUAAGUACAAAUGAAAAUGUGCCUCACUCAUUGUGAAAUAAGUUCAUAUUAAAAAAGUGGUUUCAAUCGGAAAGGGUCACCAGUGCUGAUAGUUCCUUAGCCAAAACUUAACCAAUCAGCCAACAGAAUCACCACAUAAUGAUAUACGUGACCACAAAGUAAUGCAAUUUUGAGUUUGUGCCUUCAAUUGUUCUUUAAACAUAUAACGUCCUAAAAUUACAAUUAAUCCAAAUUAGCUAUCAAUUACAAUAUUAAGGACGUAAAUGAUGUAGCAAUAUAUGACAAUGAAGAUACCAUAAGGUUUAUUUUGCAUUCAACUUCCCUAAUAGCAUGACAGCUUGGAACUAAUUUGGUUUUCUUAAUAACUUUAACAAUAUAGGUGUCCCAAAGCAUGAUUAACUAAUGAAAGGAGCAGAAUUUUGAAUUAUAUUUUAAAGGGGAUUUGGUGCUUGUGUACAAAACUUAUUAUGACAAAUAUGUGCAUUUCAUACACAAGUAAAAAUCCUCUUUCCACUAAAUCUUUUCAGAAUUUCGUCAUGCUUUUUUAUAUAGUAUUUUCACAAGCUUUUCCAAUUAAAUUUGAAAUCGAUACAAAGCAUGAAGUCUUUGAAGUGCCAUUUAUCCAAACUAAAAUCGUUUGAGAUCUAUUCUUUAAGCCAACUAAUGCAUGGCCUGUAUACCUACUCAGAGACCCAUAAGCACACAUGUACUUAAAAUUCUGUUGUGUGUAUAAUUUUGUAUAUUACACUUUACCAUAUCGAGAAUAAAAAAUUUUAGAAUUUCCUGACAUAAUUUGAAAAUGCAAAAUUUAAUUAGCAGGGCCCAUUCAUUCAAAAUUCCCCAAUCAAUCAAGAAACUGGUGUAGUGAAGAUGUGGAGGCUUUGUGGCAGUUGAACUAAAAUUUCCAACACAAACUAUCCAACCAAUUAUUCUACCUUCCAUGCCAACAAGCAACCAUCCCACCAUUUUUUCCCACCUCUUAUUUACAUACCAUCAAAUUGGCUAAGCCAUGGCUACAGAAGAGGACUUCAGCUUUCCCACCACCACCGAUACACCGCCACGAUUCAUUGAAUCGCCACGCUUAUGGCGGACAACUUCUCUAGUCUCACCCUCUCAUGAGACCCCAAAGGGAGAAGACGAUGCAGAAGGCUUCAAAUUCUUGUGUUAUUGUACAUCAAAUGACAAGAAGUCCAAAUCUGCUUUCCAAAGGAAGAGCUUCUCACACAUAGAAUGUGGGAUGAAGACUAGAAGGCAUGAAGAUGGUAAUUUUGGCAGUGAUCACGAAGAUGAGGAUGAUCAAAAAGAAAAAAUGGACAUGUUAUGGGAGGAUUUCAAUGAAGAAUUUUCAAGGAAUUCUAAGUCGUCACCAUCAUCAAUGGCCGAUUCUGAUCAUCAGCAUAUGUCUAUGAUGAAGAUGUUAAAUUUUGGGUGCGUACAACCCCCGUUAAAGUUGUCUAGACCAAAUAAAAAGCCAAGUAUACUGGAGUUCAUGAAGGUCUUGAAGAAGAGGUUCCUACUCCAAAAUUCUCACCGUUCCACCAAGAAAACUCAACGGUGAAACUAAUUCUUUUCUUUUUUUUUUUCCCCUUCUCUAAACUAAAUUUAUUAUUAUUUCUUUGGUUUGUUCUUUCUGUUGUACAAAUCAAUAUACAGAAAUUUAAUGGCAAAGUCAAUGAUAUCCCCUUUCUAAUUUGAUUUCAUCUUCUUUAACUAAAAUUAAGUUCAUCCAAGUUCAGCUAUAUAUUAAUUUGGGGAAUUCUCAAUGGCUAGGAUGAACACAUAUUUAAGUUCUAAGUUUAUGGAUAUAUACUAUUCAAAAUCCAAAAAAAAAAAAGAAUUUGCUAUUAAAUAUUGUUUACUUCGUAGAAAUAAAAAAAAUAAUUACUUGUAAAAAUGACAGCUAACCUCUAUGUGUUUCAUAAAUGAUACAAUAUAUACGUUAACAUGACGUACGUGAGGGGAAAAAAUUUUUAUUAUUAAAAAAAGCACAUUGUUAUAACUUUUACGGAUAGUUUCAGAAACCUCCCUUAAGUUUUCUUAUAAUUUCAGUUAGUCCCCC
rnacentral:lncRNA from 1 species